AGAUAUUUAAAGCCUUCUCCUUGAUCUCCACCUUCUCCUUUUUCUUUUUCUUCUUCUCCUUUUCCUUCCUCUCCUUCCUGUUCUCCUUGUUCUUCUUCUCUUUCUAGAGAAAGAGAGGGAGAGUAAGAGAGUGUGAGAGAGGGAAAGAGAGAAAUAAGAGAAUGAGAGAAGGAGUGGGCUCAUAAGCCCCUCUAAUGUAACAAAAUCCAGUUUAGCCCCUCAACUUUUCAUCUCUCAACCUGCUUUCACUGGGUAGAAUUCGCGCGGAGGGACCGGUCUCCCCGACUUGGGGCCGGUCCCCGAGAGCCUCCCUCGGGUGCACGCGUUCGGGAACCGGUCUCUCCCCGGGAGACCGAUCCUCAGGAGACCGGUCCUCGCCUGAGAGACUGGUCCCCGAGAGCUCGAUUUUCAGGACUUAGCCAAAUUUCAGCAUUUCUCACUGGGACCACGUUCAAGAACCGGUCCCUCCCUGCCAGGGACCGGUUGCACCAAGCAACCCCGCUACACCCAGCCGAUGGAACCGGUCUCUCGCCUCCAGAGACCGGUCCCCGAGAGUAACAUCAGCCCAAUGUUGCAGUUUGCACCAUUAGCUCUCGUGGACUCACUCAAAGGCACUUUUGUGCUUUGGACAUUUUUAACUUCCCCAAAGGGUAUUCUCUCGACAAACAGUCGAUCCUGGACGAAGUACAACUCUCAGAUUUCGAGAAUUCACUUCCUUACAUUAACAAGAUCGAACCCUUGUUUAUCUCUAAUCAUGCUCUCUAUUAUUACACAAUGGGCAAUGCAACCACUUGUCGUUAGAAUGCAAAUCCACAUUAUAUACCUCUACUACAUAGAGUAUAAAUGCCCUACACAUAACUUGUAAUCUCUAACAUGCUCCAUAAUGUUGCAUACAAGGAAAUCAUCAUGAAGGGUCACUUUAUGCCCAAAUUCACAUAUAUGCCUCUACUACAUAAAGCAUAAAUUUUAUUACACAUAACAUGUAUAUAUUAUGUUCUCAUAAAUUCUAGCAUGUCAUAAUGAGCAUGAAAAAGCAUCUAUUUACGUCUUAACACCAAAAGAAAGACGUAGGGUGAAUCACCUAUUUCGGUGAGGUCAAACCCACUGGAAGCACUUCCAACCUUUUCGUUCCUUCGAACGAAGUUGUCCCCCAAGCUUCUAGCACCCUAAGAGAAUUUUUAAAGAGUUAAAAGCUACAAAACGACUACUUCGAAAAUUACACAUACAAAAGUGUAAAAAUACCUUGGGUCAAGAAGAACUUGAUCAAAGCCCAAAUCGAAGCUAGAAAGUUCCAAAUCCAACCUAUAAGAGUGUUCUACACCCAUCACUCAAAAGCCUCAAAUCAAGAAACCCCAAAUAAAAUCCUAGAUUCUCAUUUCUAGGAUUUCAUCUCAUGAAAUCUAUCAAAACAUGGAUCAAAUGAGAGAAACAUGUUACUAACCUCUUUAGAAGCUUCAAACAAGGCUUGGAAUGAGCUAGGGUUGAAGAUUUCUCCUUCAUAAACUCCAAACCAAGCUGCAAGACUUCUCUUAUGGUGGAAAUGCCACUAAAACGCAAAAAUAGGCAAAAGGAGAAGAUUAAACCACCAAAACCCAAGCAAAAUGGAAGGAAAAUCCAAAGAUGAGAAGAGAGGUGCUUCCCUACCUUGCUCUCCUAUGUUUCCAAGCUUAGGAAACCAGCAAGGGCGUGGGGUAUCUUAUAGAAUUGCUACAAUAUCAAAAACACCCCUAAAAAACUAUAGUCUGCGAAACUGCACUGCGUACCGGUACCACGGGCAAGUGUCACCGGUUACAAGCUGCAGACUACGCAACCUGAGCCUCGGGUUCGUAGAAAAAUGCACUGGGUACCGGUACCAGCCUGAUGCAGUACCGGUAUUCUGCUCUGCAGAGUCCAACCCGAGAGCAGCCAAUAAUCUUCACUUUAGAGACUUUGGUGCUAAGUUUUAAAUAUCGAUUCUCGGGAUGCGCGCCAUAGAUUGGAACACGGUCAACGAUCCUCCAGAAAAUAUGGAAAAGCUCGAAACAAAAAUCAAACAUUCGAACCUCGCAAUUUGCCAAAGUUCAGUGUGCUACAGUACCGUACCGUACCGGCAAGUUUCCGGCAUGACCCCGUGCCACGGCACUUAAAUCCUUAUCGAAAGCUCUAGCGACUAGAAUCUUUAUCAAAUUAUUGUUAGGCUCCGUUUUCACUACUCGGGUGUCGGAAUGACAUGAAAUGUUAAAUUUGGUCUCAAAAAAAUAGUUUCGACAUAUUUUCUAAAUUUUAUAAUUUUCUGACACCUUGAAUUUUCAGCUGAAAGAUUAGCCCGAUCCUUCUAGAAAAUCCUAAAUUUUCUAUUUUCAUUCCAUAUAAAUUAUUAUAAAAUUAUCUUUUAUCUUUCUAAGUCAAUAAAAAUAGUAUCUCACACUAAUUUUAUUUACACAUGAUUUUACCAAAAUAUCCUUCAAAAUCUGAAUUUUGCAGAACUGCGUACCAGUACUCGGGUUUGCAUACCGGUACUCAAGUAUUCAGUUCUGAUACCCUAAAUCUAGUUUCUCAAAACCCAAACAUUAGAUUCUCAGAUUUUCUAUUGCGUAUUGGUAUCCAAUUUUCAGUACAGGUACGCAGUACAAACUUAGUACCGAUACUUAGGUUCAAUUCCUCAGAACUUGAGAGUUCGUUCCUUUCAUUUUGUAUUGCGUAUCGGUACCCAAUUUUUCAGCACCGGCACUCAAAACAAAAUCAGUAGUUUUGACAGUUUUAACAUUUCGGAGUCCGUUUUCGCGCCCGGUUUGCGCCGAAAAAAACUGAAGAUAGUGAAUGAUUCACCGCCUUAGUGAAGGCGGAAGACGGUGAACCAUUCACCAUCUUCAAUAUUUAUAUUACAAAGAUGGUGAAUCGUUCACCGCCUUACUGAAGACGAACGAUUCACUGUUUUUAGAGAAAAUCUCCACCCUGGCGCGUUACGUGGCGAAAAAAGGAUUAAUUUUCAAAUACAAUUUCGACAGGGUUGUUUUACAAAUUAUAAAGUUUUAGAGGGUCUGUUGUAAAAAAAGUCCAUCCACGUACCGCCGCACCAGCGUGCCCCUCCCUACAAAUAGCAUUUCAUCGCCGGUCUCCACAGAUGGAAACCCCUCCGACUCCCUCUCCCGUCUCUUCCGUCUAUUACAAUACUCUCGUGAUGCUAAGAUGACUCCAGCGCCAAUCUCGUCGUUUAUUCGAAGCUUGGAGAGCCAUCCCGCGAGCAUUUGAGUCGCCAUUACACGUUCGCACAACAGUCAGAGACGCUAGCAAGAAGUGGGGGUAUCUUCCUGAAAACCUAAAUACGCAUUGUUUAUGGGUUUUGCCGAGCAAUCUAUGACUCGUUGUUUGUGUUUAGCAUGGAAUAGGUUUUGCCUCGCACUUACUGUGUCGAUUGGUUUCGUAAUGCGUCCUUGUGAGGUCGUUUAUGCAAAAGUGCUUGAUGUUGUUUUGGACGUGAUAUUUUAUAUGCAAUCACUUCUGAGAUUGAAUGCCUUCAUCUGCUUCUGUCAUUUGUCAGGUUGUAUUUGUGUGCGAUGUGCAAUCACUGUGGUCUGAGUGAAAUAAGGUUUCAUUGCUUAGUCAGGUUUCAAUUUGAUCUUCAAUCACUUCGUGUUUGAUAUUCAAUUCAACACCCCAAACAUUUAUCAGGGUUCUACUUUAGUCCUUUCUAUUACCUUUUUGGUAGAGAAAAUUUAUUACCUGCAUAUAGUGCAUCUGCCCAUUUGUGCACUGUGGAUCCAUAGCCCCUCCAUUCAUGUUGUAAUUUCAAUCCGGCCAGUCAAUGUCUAAGCAAUGAAAAAACUCCAACUCUAUUGGUUGCUGGGAUUGAAAUACACGAUAGAUAUCAAAGGCUGAUGAAUACGUGGUUUAAGGGUGUACGGAUGCACUUCGUUUAGGCAACAAUUGUUCCUUCAACAGUAGAUGAGGAUAGGGACUAACAUAGUCCGGGUUAUUGAAUUUCAAACUUAAAAGUUCGAGGAUUAAAGUGAAACUCGACAAAACUUUGGGGACUAUAAGUUCAAUUUACCCGUUGGCUUUUCUUGUGAUACAUAAGCUCAUUUCAUAGCAACUUUGCAUGAAACUAAGCAUUUUAAUAUGAAUUCCAAUUUAGAUAGCAUCUUAAAAUACAACUUAGAUAAGAGGCAGCAGGGGCUGGAGGCGUAAGCAGUGCAGGGGCUGUGACAGAAAUGGGUGGGGUGACAAGAGAGUGAAUACGAAGGGACUGUAGACAUAGUGUUGUGCUGCCACAGAUCCAUCGUGUUAAGGGUAUAAGGCAAGGAUUUAAGUACUGUGGCACAGGGUCGUGCCAGAAACUUGCUUGCACGGUACGGUACGGUGCGUGCCGAGUCGUGCCGAUGCGUGCCGGUCAAAAAAAUUCUUGUGUGCCGACUCAUAAUAGCAUGAAAUAUUUAUUUUCUUUAGCAACAAAAUAUUCUAACUAUUUAUUAUGUCUUUUUAUCACAUCUUUUGAAUUUUAUUGAGAAAAUUACUUACUAAUUUAAAGAAUAGAGGGUUUUGAAUUGUGCCAUCGGCACGGGGUCUGUAUCCUGCCAGUAUCUUGUUGGCAUGGUACGGCACGGUGGAUACGGCCCGUACCGACGGGUACUUAAAACCUUGGUAUAAGGGGUAUUAAAAGAAUAGCUGUCGCAUGAUUUUGGAUGUGACACUAAAGGAAAAGCAAGGAAGGUGGGCUGAGUGACAAGCCGAGUAAUGUUGGGCAGUUUAUCCAUAGAUUUUUGAAUGUCAAGGUGUCAAGGUAAAUAAUCUACUGGUUUUUUUUUUAAUGGUUAUAACGCAAUGUUGUAUUGAGCUUACUAUGUUACAUGGUUAUCUAUAUCUAUACUAUUAAUAAAAGAGGGAGUUUCCUCUUUUCUCUUCCAAAAUUGUCCCUUUCUCAUAAUGCAAUACCGAUCAUAUCCUAACAAUAUUAGCCAUCUUAAUCUAUUUUCUAAUUGGUAUCUCGCAAACGUUUAAUAUUCUUUUUAUUUUAAAUUUUUUAUUUUACAAAAUAUUUAUAAGCCAUUAGAUCUAAUCCCACGAAUAACAUUAAAGGUAUCUGUCAAUUUUUUGGAUCAAAUUACCCUCUUGCCUUUUUAGAUAUCCUUUCUCUCAUUAAUUCCCAAUUAUACUGCACGUUUUCCAAAAAAGGCAUCAACAACAAUGUGAUUUUGAAGAGAGCACGAGGGAGGGGAAGAGGCGAACGCCCUCAACUAUAGGCCAUUUUAAACUAGGAUCCUCAACUUUUAUUCAUUUAUUUUUAAAUUGAUAUUUUUUACUUUUAUUUUUUACUUUUAUUUUUUAUCAGUUAAUAGAUUUAAGGCCAAUUUGCAUAAAAAAUCUACUGGUGUUGCAUUUUAGCAAAAAUAGAUCACUUUUUUGAAUUUUGCAGAUUAGGUAUGGAUUUUUAGUAAACUGACAAAAAUAAAUAGUAUUGUCUAUAGAAUAGUUAAUUAAUUUAUUUUUUAGGGUUUAGAGAAUGCCAUUUAUUUUGGUAAGAAAAGAUAUAUAUUACAUCGAUCUUGAUUGUGUGUGUUUAUUACUAUAUGAAUAUCAUAUCCGAUCUUAAUUAUUAUUUUUUUUUAAAUAUGUGACGUGCAUUUUCACGUGCACUUUACUAGUUUCUUAUUAUGUAUUAGUUUCUCUAUAGUUGCCAUGAUCUAUUAUGAUUUUUGUACUAUCACCAAUGGAUUGUUGUAGACACGGCAAGGACUUUCGUUCUAAGUUAGCUUUCUUCCGAGUCUUUUGAUAUUUUCUCUUUGCUUUCUAAUAUGCUGCACACUGGUAUGGCUUUCAGUUUUUUUUUUUUUUUUUUCAAGGAAUUUGAUGGGACAAAAGAAGACAGAUAGUUUUGAGAGACACAGUUCAGUCCUUGUGGGUGCAAUUUUCAUGUGCAACCGAAGGACAAAGAAGGAAUGUCUUGGAAGAAAGCUUUUCGGUUUUCCAUAUAAUCAGGCAGAUUUUGUAAAGAAAGUAAAAGCUGGCAUGGUGCUAUUUUUAUUUGAAUAUGAGGAGAGGAAACUUCAUGGGGUGUUUGAGGCAACUUCAGAUGGUGCGCAGAAUAUUGUGCCUGCUGCAUUUUCCUCAUCAGGGAGGCUUUACCCUUCUCAGGUAUGGAAAUUUACUUUUAUCUUUUCUUGAAAAUCUGUCUUUCCGUUAUAGUUGAAUUGUAAGUUGUUUAUCUUUCUGAGCUUCACCUUUCUUUAUAGAAGUUCACCUUUUGUCAACAUGUUGCAGUGUCUAAAUGCUAUUAAUCUGGGUAAAUUUACAAAAAUAGAUUCUUGCAGUUUAGCCUGUUUCUCAAUUAUCGUCCUAUGUAAAAUAUUGUAUCAACUUCAACUCUGCACUUCACCACUAUCUCAAAUAAACCCCAAAUUUGGGAUGAUUGAUAAAUGGUGGGUUUCCAAGCUUCGUGAAAGCGAGUUGGCGGAUGAUAAUGAUUGUCAUGUUCAGUAAAGUAGAUUCAUAAAUUGAAUAAAAUGUCCAGUAAAUUGCAAACUAGUAUAGGAGAGAGCUUCUAUUUUAGUUGUCCAAUAAAUUGCAAACUAGUACAGGAGAUAUCUUUUAUUUAGCUGUACAUUUAUUAUAUAAGAGCAUGCUUUUGUAGGGUCAGGCAGAACCAUGAUCACUUUACCGGAAUUUCCCUCAUAUUGUUAUCAAUGUCUUCAUGACGCAUGACAUCUUGCAACUUAGAUAAAUGUUCAGAUAUAGAACCAACAUGAUAUGCUAGACCAUUUUAGCACAUAUUUGUGCAGCAUGUUAACAAACAUCUCAAGUUUCUAGGCCUGUUUGAAGUAGUGGUGAGGUGCAGGGUUGAAAUCAAUGCUGAAGGGUAAUGGAGAUUUGAGACAGCAAAAAUGCAGGAUGUUGUUGUGUAAUUCGGCAUUAAAACAUGCCAAAUUGUACUCCUUUUAUGGUUAUAAAUUAUGAGCUAUAUGGCACCCGUAUUUUGUGGUUGUUGAUUUCUAGUAUUUAGUUUGAAUUUCUUUUUACCUACUUUUACCUACUUCCAGCAGCAUAUUUAAUCUGAACAUCUUUCUUGCUGUCCAUUUUGUCACUGUAGAUUUCACUUAAAUUCUUUAAGUGUUAUCCAUCUUAUAGUCAAUUAAUGAUUUUGAUUCUGCGGUUCAUUCAGAUUCGUUUCAGAAGAACUUGGUCUUGCAAGCCACUGUCUGAAGACGAAUUCUGUCAUGCUAUUGAAGAAAACUACUAUGAGCCCUUCAAGUUCCACUUUGGUUUGACUUACAAACAGGUAUGCUCCUCUUGUAAGUUUGAGAUUACGUACUAUUCACUUGAUUUCCUAGUUAUGUAGAUUGCAACUGAUGUGCAGUAGUUGAUCAUUCAGGUUUCCAAGCUGAUUUACUUGUUUUCUUUGAAGAAGACUAGUGUUCAACCUUACUGGGAAGCAACGAUACCUAACAAAAUGGAACAGCAGUUUGAGGGCACAGUUAGGGGAACUAGAUCAGUAAGGCUUAAUUCACAUGAACAACAUAAGUCUAUUUUAACAUCUGAAAAUUCGGCAGAUGAUUCCCGACAUGGGCUGUUUCAAAAGGUCCCAUACGGUGGUACCAAAUCGCUGUUUGGUUCUAUGUUUUCAGAAUCUCAAAAUGACAGCUCUCUUAAGAGUAAUUUGUCAAGUACGUUCUACGAUCAAUUUCACAAUAUCCCAAGCCAUGGAGUUGACCUCUCCUCCUCCAUUACUCAAGGCAUAGUUGGUUCAUUUUACAAGGAUCCAACUGCUUAUCCAAGGCUUUCCACCGGCACACACAUGCCUCCUAUUAGGAAUCAAUCUCCAAUACAAUCAGAUCUAAAUACCUUAAAUAUAUUGCCUGCCUCUAGCUUCCAGAGUACAUUUCUGCUUAACAGCGAAGAAGUGAAGAGAGACACAUCAUUCCCAGUUUAUGAGUCUGCUAGAAUCAGUACUCUUGACCAAGGUUACACUAGUCAUGCUACUCUCCAAGAUAACCAGGCUUACUCUCCUGACUAUUAUAUCCCUCCUGUUGUUAAAUCUGCUCCAGUAAACAAGAUUGUUGCACCAAAGGGCAUAGAAACUUUUCUGCCCUUGGUUGAGAGUUCAGGCAACAGUAACCAUCUCGCAGCUGAAAUGGAAUAUACUGUGAGAGGACAGCAACAUCAUAAUGUAGGGUCUGCCCCUGACUAUAUACCGCUCUCUUUGGAAUAUGAUGACUUCUGUGAUUCCAAGAUUGGCAUAGACUAUGAAGAAGAUCCGGCGCCUGACCUCCUAAUAAUGCAUGGAGAGAAUUACCGACAUCCUCAGCCUGUGGCCAAUUCCAGACUACAAUCAGAUUUUGAGCAAAGAAAAAGUGUGUUCACUCGUUUAUCAAGUGUGCCACGACCCACUCGUCAAAGCAACAUCAGACAUGAAUAUGAAGCAGGUCCCUCAGUGGAUCAAAUUUUGAGUAUCAUAUCUCAGAGAAGAGAACUGUGGGCUAAGACUUUUGGUACAACAGUUGAUGUGUCAAACAUAAUAAGUUGGGAUGAGGAAGAUGUACCUGAGACUACAUCAGAAAAAGAAUUAAACAAAGCUGAUUUUGAUAGUGAGUUGGAUUCAAGCAGUGAAGCAGUUGCCGAAGAAUGUAUUCAGCUUCUUUUCAGGGAUUUCAAGCGGCGGAGCAGUAAAGUUCAAAAGAUGAAGAGUGGGAGUGGGAUGCAUGAGACAACGGAGAGCAAUAAAGAUGAGGGGUCCCAAAGAAAGAGAAGACGACUGGUGCGGCCAUCCUUCAAUGAAGAGGAGCACCAAAGCAUGCAUACAGAGCAUAAGAGCGUACAGAUCUCUGCAGGAAUCAUUGAAAGUGUGCCUUUGGUUAAAGAGGAUGAGCUUAGGAAAGAUGAACAUUUUCAGACGGGAGAGGAGAACCAAAGCGUGCAUACGGAGCACAAGAGUGUACAGAUCUCUGCGGAAAUCAUUGAAACUGGCACUUUGAUUAAAGAGGAUGAGCUCACGAGAGAUGAACAUUUUCAGACUAAAGAGGAGCACCAAAGCAUGCAUACAGAGCACAAGAGUGUAGAGAUCUCUACAGAAAUCAUUGAAAGUGGCGCUUUGGUUAAAGAGGAUGAGCUCAUGAAAGAUGAACAUUUUCAGACUGAAAAUUCUUCAUCUGCUAACAUACCAGCCAACAAUUUGGAGAUUACAUCAAAAGAAUUGGAAACAUGCAAGAAUGAUGUAUCUGGUGGCAAUACAGAGAGGCUCUCGCUAGAACCCGGUGCUCAGCAUCCCACGAUCUCUGUUACUUUGUCUGUUGGAGGCACAGGAGCUGAUGCACCCAAAGUACGUAGCAGUUGGCAAUCUGUACUGCAAGGAGAAAGUGAUAUUUGUAGGGGAAGUAGUGAAAUGGAUCUAAAUGUAGCACCUACACUUGUUGCUGACGAUACCAGAAUUACUGAAUGAUCACUCCGCCGGCAAGCUCUUAGACUAUUGUUUUGUUUUGAAGGUUCUUUGCUUUAGCCUUCUACUAAUUCAUCUGCUUAUGGUAGCUGAGUAGGUUUGCAGAGUACAAUCUUCUGAAAAGACUUAGUAGCUAGAUGUGCAUAGAUCAUCCUAGUUUUUAAUUUGUUUCUUUCUUUUUCUUUUAGCUCUUUUGGAUUACACUUGGCUUUAUGGGAUGUUAGGAUGUUAUCUUAAUUCCUUCUGUUUUGGCUUUAUACACUUUGUAGCUACCUAUUAUUAUUGUAACAAGGCAAUACCGGAUCAAGCAAUCUAUAUACUAAUAGUAUUCUGUUCGUAAUCUGGAUGUUUCCUCUACGUUUUUUUUUUUAACAUAUUUAUCAUCAUUUGGGAACUUCCAUGCAUAUUUUACCCUUCUUUGUCCUUUGGCGUUCCUUUGGCGUUGUAGAUUUUGUAGAUGGAAAUUGUUGAAUUUGGGUCAUAAGACCCGAUUUAGCGUGGCCUUAUUUGGCCAAUCCGUCAUCCAUUGGACUCGGCGUAAUUGGAUGGAGGUUCUGUAUGUACCCGCUCCGUUAGAUUCAAUUUAGGUGGGAACGGUUAACGUAGAGUUGGAUGCACUCUAGCAAACUGCUAAUUAGUUAUUCUCGUGAUAGGAAAGGAGGAUUGGAUGACGCGCACGCACACAUGCGCAUAUAGUCCGAUGAGAGUGUCUCUAAUAGUGCUAAGCACUUAGUACUAUCAAUUUUUUCACACACAUAUGUACGCACUAAAGGUACGAAGCAUUUGGUGCCAUCAUUUUUUCGUCAUUAGAUCUACCAUUUUGGAUUAGUAGUAAGGAUGUCAACUGAGUAUGGAUACCUGAAAUAUUAUUCGAACUCGAAUCUGAACAGGACGAGUUUAACUAAACUAAACGGAUAUGAAUUUGGUUAUGCAUAUAGAAAAUAAAAACCCAACGGAUUCAGAUACGGGUAUAAACAAGUUUUGUAUGUACCCGGCCCGAACCCGAGCCUAAAUCCGGACCUGAAAAAGUUUUACAUUAUUUAUUAUUUAUACAGUAUAAAAAAAAGUACUCUAACAAUUUUUAAACAUUGGAUCUUCAUCCAAUGGUAAAAAAUAGUCAUUUUAUCAUCCAAAACCUAACAAGUCUCUUCUCCUAUAUUUUCUCUGCCGUCCUCGUUCGUCACUCCAUCCUCCUCAUUUUCUCGGUUUCUCCUAGUCCCACACAUGCGUCCAGCAUCCUCCUCCUCUAAGUCGUCUCCUCCUCCGCGAGUGGGGCUUUUUUUUCCAAUCUACCGGCUAGUCUGUGUACGAAUAGACUAGCGUCAUCCGCACUAACCCUGUUGCCAAGAUCUUCGUCGACCUUCAUCCGGCGUCCUUACAGUUACAAAGGGAGGAUAAUACUUUCUUGUUAUUUCUGACUAGAGAACAAUAUUUUUCUAAAACUUUCAUAAUGUUUCAGUAGUUACGAGGAUUAUUUAUCAAUAUAUUAAAAUUUUUCACGAGUACAAACACCACUUUGACUGUGUUUUGGUUUUAUUUGCACAAUCAUUAAAUUAUUCUCCUUGCUUGAUACUAUUUUUAUAUUUAUUACUCUCUUGAUGAUUAAUUAAUAGGUCAAAUUUUACAAACCAAAAGAAUAAAAAAUCUCUAAACAACCGACUAAUGAAAACUCUCAAUUUUCAUUGGCAUCACGUACAAUUAAUACAAAUGUAGGGUCAAAUCCAUCCCAGGGUGAUGAUGAAGAAACUAAUGAAGUGACGAAAAGAAAAGCAACUUCCUAGGCAUGUAAUCACUUUAUGUUGGCAUUCGGUUAAAUCGAAUCGGGUACGCCCAUAAGCGGGUUCGAUCCGACGGAUAUUAUGUUAUCUAAUUGGAUUGGAAUUAAUCUCGCUUUCAAAUUGGAAAGCUAGUUAGAGAUAAAUCCUAGUCAUAUUAGAAUAACAAUUAAUAACCGAUUUGGCCUUAUCUCUAACACUAUUAGGAUUUUGGAAUCCCUUAUAAAUAUGCGGGUGAUCCCACAGAACAAAAUGUACAAGAAGCAUACCAAACGCACUAUAUAUAUAUAUAUAUAUAUAUAUAUAUAUAUAUAUAUAUAUAAAGAGAGAGAGAGAGAGAGAGAGUCCGGCUAUUAUACUCUUAUGAGUACGAUCGUCUUUGAUGAUAGAUCAUGUUUCAAAUACUCUAGAUCAUAUUUAAUAGUAUGGAUCGUCGAUUCGGAAGCUCCAUUAUCGAAAAUAGCUUAUAAGUACAAGGAGCUCUAUACUCAUAAGAGUAUAGUACCCCUAUUCUAUGUAUAUAUAGAGAGAGAGAGUAAGGCAGAUGUCCUAUUAGGAGCACAGCAGCCCUUAUACUCCUAACUUUCUAACCAUCCAUUAAUUUUGAUGGGUGGUUAGGAUGUGAGAGAGAAAAAAAAGAGAAAAAAUUGUGUAUCUCAAUUUCUCUUCUCUUUGAAUUUUUCUUUAAUUUCUCUUUUCUCUCGUGUCCUAACCACCUAUUGAUGUAUGGUUAGGAAGUUAGGAGCACAAGAGCUGUUGUGCUCCUAAUAACAUAAUAGCCCUACUAUAUAUAUAUAUAUAUAUAUAGAAUUGAGCUCCUAUGUUUUUAAAAGUACCAAGUCAUUGGUGCUUGUAAGUUUUUGGCCCUUGGAUUAAGAGAUGUGCGGUUAGGAUGAUGUGGGCCCCCUAGGGUUGAGUGGGUGGUUGGUUGAAUAGUAUAAUCUAACGGAUAAAAAUGAUCAAAGACAGAGAUCUAACGGUAAAAAAUUUACAAGCACCAAGUGCUUGGUGCUUUUACAAGCACCAUAGCCGGACUCUAUAUAUAUAUAUAUAUAUGGACAGAAAUUGAAAGACGGAAUUGUCGAUGGAAUAAAAGAAUAUUUAUACAUAUUAUAAAAAUAAAUAAAUAAUUAUAAUUAACAAACUAAAAACAAAUCAAAACAAAUCAAAUUUGGAAAAUAAAUUAAUUAAAAAAUAGACUCAUGCCAUCAAUAACUAUUUAAAUUUAAAAUACUUAAAUACUCGUAAUAAACAAUCUUAUAAUUGAAUUCUAAAUUUAUAAUUGAAUUCUAAAUUUAAAUUAUUAGCUUUUUAUUAAUUUAUUUUAUACUAUUGGAUGAUAUACUAUCAAAAGAAUAAAUUUAAAAUCAUAAAUUUUGGACGUUUGUAUCUUAUAAAUAAAAUAUUAUUGGACUUUUUUUUGCAUUUGGCCUCAAAAAAAUUAUUUUCACAAAUAGCCACACCAAAUUUAUAAUUGCAAUUUUGGGCCUAUCCCUGCCAUGUAGGCGCCACAUCAGUGCCACGCGAGCAGGCUGGGAGGAGUUGGAAUAAGUUGAACACGGCAAUGCAUUCACCGUGUCCAAACACGGUGAAUGGUUCACCGUGUUUAGAUAUGGUGAAUGAAUUAUCAUGUUUAGACACGGUAAAUGAUUCACCGUGUCCAUACACGGUGAACCAUUCACCGUAUUCUCUUCGUAUUAUACACCCAACCCUGUCCGAGCUGUCUUCCCCAUACCCUCUCUCGCUCUAUCUUCCUCUCUCUCUCUCUCUCUCUCUCUCUCUCUCUCUCUCUCUCUCUCUUUCCUUGUCGUAUCAUGCUUCAUAUAUUCAGCGUUGGGAUGAUAAAUUGAUGAACUUGGGAUGAUAGAUUGAUGAAUAUAGUAGAGGUGGACCCUAAAAUAGAUCCAAAUCCUAUACGAGCUACCACUGUUUACAUGUAGUGGUAUUGGAGCAUCACUAGGAGGUAGAUAUCUAGACUAGUACAGCGCCCACCCAUCACGUAUCAGUUACGUGGAUAUGUCGAGAGAGUAUUUGUAUGAUUUUAAUAUAUAAUAUCUCUUUAUAUUUAUUUUUAUAUAUAAAGAAAGUUUAAUGGAAUUUUUAUUAUAGUACUUUUAUUUCAGGUCGAUGUCAUGUAGAGAUCACAUUAUACGAUUAGGCGUGUCCUGCUAAAUAUUCCGUAUGGCGGAGUACUAGAAGCCCUAUCACAAGUUGCCGAUCAAAUGGAAGCAAUUUUGGAGACUCUACCUCCACGGCUAGCAGAACAUGGUGAACCAUUGAUGUCGGCCCAUGUACCACUAUAUAGUCCGCCGAGGUCAUCUUCACCGAUAGAGAAGCCACCUUAUCAUCGAAACACAGUACUAGUACCAGUAAUAGAGGAUUCUUCUCGACCAAUCGAUAGUGUUUAUCGUAGGCGCCGACAGCAGUUGCAGUCUCUCCACAUAGAUCAGCCCUUAUUUUCAGCUCCUCCACGGCCAGACAUACUACCGACAUCUGCUAUAGUUGAGCACGAGAUCAGACGGGUGAUCGAAAUGCAGAGCACUCAGCCAGUUGUUGAGGGUGUUGUUAUCGAACAUCUCGACCAGUUGGAAGUCAUAGAGCCCUUUGAUGAGUAUGGUGUUAAUCGUGGUCGCGGUCGUGGUAGGGAACGUUUAGGUAAACGUGGUCGAGGGACUAAGAGGACAACAUGACAUUAUAUUUUUGUAAAUUUUAAAUUGCACAGGACUUUCUAUAUUAUUGAAAACCUUGCUCUAUUUUUUUAUAUUUUGUUGUGAUGAUAUGGUAUCGAUGCUCUAUUAAUAUUGUGUUGUUGUGUUGGAUUUGUUGUUGUGCUGUUGAUGUUGAAUUUGUUGUGUUGUUGUGCUGAAAUUUACAAGUGUACUGCAGUCCUACUGAAUACGGUGAACCAUUCACCGUGUCUAAACACUGUAAACGAUUCACCGUGUUCAAACGUGGUGAACCAUUCACCGUGUCUAAACACAGUAAACAAUUCACCGUGUUCAAACACGGUGAAUGGUUCUCCGUGUUUAGUGUAUUAUCUGCCAUCAGGGAAUAUCAGUGAACCAUUCACCGUGUUUGGACACGGUGAAUGUGUGAUAUAUUGAACCUUAGCAAAUUGGCAAAGUUACAGUAUAAAUUUAUGCUUGAUUGAGUUGGAGACGUUUUGCACAAAAUAGACGUCAAAACGGACUUUGAAACUCAAGAUUUAAUUAUUUUGGACUAAAGAUGAAUACAUACAGUAUUUUUGCAUUUAAGUAGGUAGAGCCACGAAGCUUCUAUGAUCCUUAUCAUUACAUAAGGUAGUGAGAGAAAGAGCUUGGUCGAGGAAAAAAAAAGAGAAGAGAAAAGGUUUGGUUUCAUUCUAGCGAGCGAGCGAGUCGAGCUCGCGCACAUGAACUUUUUGGUGUUUCGACGUGGCGGUUAAUCUCACAAUAUUAUUAUUUCUCCUGUUAAUUGUAAGAAAGUGAAUUCUGGAAAUCCGAGAGUUGGACUUCGCUCAGAAUUGACUAAUUGUCGAGUGGGUAUGCUUCGGAAAAGCCGAAGAAGUUGGAAACCCAAAAAGUGCAAUGGCGAGGGCCUCGAAGAGCAAAAGAAUUGAAAUCUGCAAUUUUGCAGAUUUUGCUCUCGGGGACCGGUCCCUGGUGGGAGAGACCGGUCCCUGUAAGCUGAAAGUGCAGCAGGAAACUCUGCCCGCGAUGUUUGCUCUCGGGGUCCGGUCCCUCAGGCGGGGACCGGUCCUUGAAGGUCCGGUCCCUCAGGCAAGGACCGGUCCCCGUACGCGUAGAAGCUGGCUGAGAGCCUCUGCCCUCAAGGGUUGCUCUCGGGGACUGGUCCCUCUAGGGACAGAUCAGUCCCCGAGCACGAAAAUUGCCGAGUAUGGACUGUGUGAGGGAAGCAAAGCGGAGGGGUUAUUAUGCAAUUAUUGCAUUAGUGAAGGGUAUAGAGGGGAGAUCACUCUCUCCCUCUCUCAUUUUCACCCAACACACUCUCCCCCCUCUCUCUCUCUCUCUCUCUCUCUCUGUGUAAACACACUCUCUCUCUUUUGAAGUGAAGAAGGAGAAGAAGGAAAGGAAGGAGAAUAAGGAGAAGCAAGCUAGAGAAAGGCUUUGGUCAUCUUCUUCUUCCUCUCCUCACUAUUGGAGCAAGCUUAGAGGUAAGCUUCUAGACCCAACAAUGGUAGAAACCUAGGGUUUGGAUUGUUAGCUCUAGAAUGGGUUUGAUUAGUGUUUUAGCAUGUUUAAUAGAUGCUUAAUGCUAGAAUCUAGAGUUUUGUCGGAGUAUUUUGCAUAGAUGCAAACCUAGGGCUCCAAAUUGGGGUUUUGUUAAAUAGUGAGGUUUGAUCUCAAUUGAUGGCAUCUAAACCUAAUUGCUAGGUGUCUAAACGCGUUGGCGAAGGCGGAUUGACGAUUCGUCGAGUCAUUAAAAAGAUAUCGGCAAAACAAGACCGAUUGGGCUUCGUUUCCGCCUCGGAGGCCGAAACGACAUCGUAGCAAGUGCCGAGUAGCGUUCUUAGAGCUUCGACAUCGUCAAAAGGUGGGUGGUGUCAUCCCGAAGCAACCCGGUUCCUCUUUAUGUCUUAGCACACCAUGAUUUUGCAUCUCUUGCAUGUUGCAUUGUAGGAUUGCAUAGUAGCUCCAUUCCUUAUGCUUUCUGAUUGAUAUCAUAGUGUGAGUUGAAUGCUUGGUAUAAUGGAUAGAUAAGGAUUGAGUCUUGACAUUGAAUCCUAUAGUGCCGAGGAAAAGAGAUGGACUUGAUGGUUACCUAGUGACAUAAUGAGUGGCACAUGAUUGAUAAAUGAAUAGAACGAGUGGUAUAACUUAGUGUAAAAUGACGCUAGUGGGUUGUGAAUUUAGGGAUAGGUGGAUUCUCUAGUGAUGACUCGUUGAACAAGAACAUAGUGUAGUUAAAUAUUUACACAUGGACAUUGGGAUAGACGGAUUCUCGAGUGACUAUUAGCCCUAGUUGAUAAGGUAUCCUCGAGUUGAGAGGAUCGGAUUAUACUCACAGUCCGUUUAUACUUGUUGUAACAAUGUGAACUCUCGAAAUCCGAGGGUUGCACCUUGUCUAGAAUCGACUAAGGGUCGAAUGGAUAAGCUUUGGAAAAGCUAAGGAUGCACGAAAUCCGAGAAGUGCAUUGGAAUGGAUGUCGCGAGAAGUAAAUAACUGCAUAGCAUUUUGGGCUGAAGUUGCUCUCGGGACCGAAUUCUUGGAGGAGUGAGAGACCGUCCCAUACAGCUGAAGGCUGUGCGGGUUGCUGAUGCAACCGGUCCUUGAGGAGCAGGACGCGCCCAGCCUUGCAGACACAGUGAGCAGAGCCGAAAAUUCGCUAAGUCCAAGAGUUUAGCUCGUCGGGAACGGUUCUCUCUGGAAGGAACGGUUCUCCGAGACCGAGUCUCUCGGAAGGGACCGGUUCCCGAACGCGUGGUCCGCGGGAGAAGCCCCGGGGACCGCGUCCCUGAUCGGGGGAGACCGGCCCUCGCGCGCAGAACGCCCAGUAAGGGACACUGUGUAAGAGACGAAAAGUUGAGGGGGCGCCUUUGGGAUAUAUGAUACAAAAUGAGACGAGGUAUUAGAGCAGAUUUUCCUCUCUUCUCAUCUCCUCACUCCCCAGUCCUCUCUCUCUCUCUCUCCCUACUGAUCGUGCGAAGGGGGAGAAGAAAGGAAAGAAAAGAGAAAGGAGAAGGAAGAAGAAAAAGGGAAAGGAAGGAAGGAGAAGGAGAGGACAAGGAGCGAGAGUCCUCUUCCCUCAUCUUCAUCUUAUCUUCUUUCUUCAUUUUGGACCUCUCCAAAGCAGCGUAAGUUCAUGGCUUCUGUAAUAGUUUCUUGUAGAUGGGCUUAUAAACCUAGAAAUGAGUUUUAGAGGACCCUAGCAAUGCCUCUAGAAUGAUUUCACCCCAUUCAUAGAUCGAUUUGGUGGUUUUGAUGGAUUGAGGGAUUCUAGGCGCAUCAUGGCGGCGUUUUAUUGUAAUAGAUGACGCUCUCUCCGCACUCCUCAUUUUGACCCUUUGUGCGAAACCUAAUUGUAGGUAACGAAACACAAGUGGUUCGCGAGUCGUUUCGGCAAUCGACAAGCCGUUUGAAGCAUUUAUUUGAAGAAGCGGGCGACUCGGAGUCUUCAUUUCCGCCUGCGGAGGCGUGGCAACGUCCAUAAAUGUGGAAAUCGGGUAUCCGAGCACCGUAGCGGCUGAGACGAAGAUUCGCCUGGCACUCUUGAAAGGUGAAGCGGCCGCUCCGACGGAACGCAACUCGUGACGAUCGGGCCCAAGCGGGUGCCGAGUGCCGCGGCUGUGGCCGAUUCGCAAGUGUGCGACAAGCAAUCGGCGAAAAAGCUAUUUCCUAAGGUGGUGUUGUGCUUUACCUGAAGCGACUAGCGUCGCCUUCUAUCUAAACCACAAAGCCAAAAACAAAAAAUCACCAAGCGUUUAAGAAACCAUAUACGAAUUCACCAUCUGACUGCAUAUAGUUGCAUUGGUAGGCUUACAUCGAUACAUAUGACAUGCUUGAAACAUAUUUAUGUAUUCUUGCAUAUUACCCUACCAUGAGAUGAACAUGUAUACAUGAAUUAAAUGCUAAAAGAAUGCAUGAGAUGCUAAGCUAUAGAUACGUUGAUGAUGCAUAAUUAUGUUAUAGUCUGCACUAUCAUGUGAUGCUAGUCAAUAUAUUGCCAUGAUGACUGUUUGACAUUAACAUUGUGGAUGUUAUGUACCAUAGAACAUAUACAUCGAGACAUAUACUUGCAUCCAUGAUAGAAGAAUUAGCGUAUUACUGUCUGCCAUAUCUGCUGGAAACAUAGUAGAAUGAAACUUAUGCAUGUGACUUGGCCCGAUUACGAGAUCAUUGCAUUGGAAAACACCAAACACACCUCGAGCUGGCUUAUGUUAGUCGUAUUUGACACUAGAGGUUGAGACUAGGAUAGGUGAAUCCUCUCAGAAAAAUGCCUUGUGGAUAAAGAACUUAGUAACCUAAGUACCCUCAUCAUUGACGAGCGUUGUCGAUGAGUAUUAGAGAAGCUUAACCUCUACGUCUGUAGAGCACCUCCUCACUUUAGAGGGAUCUUUAUUGGUGUUGACCUCUAGUUGAUAGAGAUCCUCACCUUGACGAGGAUGAUUGGUGUGACCGGAUUGUAGGCGCAUCUCCACUUCGGACGAGGAUAGAUCUAGCUCACCAUGCUCGCGUUGGAUCAGUCAUUAGCCAUCAGCCCCACAUGGAGGAAUUUCGAUCGAGUAUUCCGGAGUGUCGGCGACUAGGACCACUUGGCAGGUCCGCACACAUGAGUCCGCAGACGGUCCCGGCUUUUGCGGCCACUUGAGCUCCCGCCCACUUUGGGAUUGAAAGGUGACGUUAUUGGCCAACCUAGGGCUUAUCGAUACAGAUUGGGUAAAAGCAAGCUGAACAACUGCCACUUGGAACAUUAUUAUAUCGAACACUGGAUUCGAAUUUGUUAGCAUGAAGUAAACCUUUACUAUUUGAGCAUCGAUAUGAUUAGUUUGCAUCCUAGUUGACGGGCAUUUAGCGGCGAGGUGCAUGUGAGACCAUCCUUCACCUUGAUACCUGGCCUUAUGCUGCAGUAUUCCGCGUAUGAUUGACUCAAAACCGGGUCGAGUGGAUAGCAAUUAUGAAAGCAGCGAUAACCUUCAUGAGCCAGAAUUGUAACUUGACAAGAAUCUGAAGCAUAGAGCGAAAACUUAGAAUCAAUUGUUGAACUGUUGAAUAACAGGAUAAAGUAGUAUCGAUUGAAUACUAGUUGGUUGCAUUGCGUUGCAUAAACUGCAUGAAUUUCAUACUUGCAUUUUGUGAGGCACAACCAUGUAUUUCAUACAUUUGAAUAUAUCUAUAGAUGUUUUUGGACUAACAUGAUUGCAGUGCCUCCUUGGACCUUUUGGUCGAGCUUUUCCCUUGGGUGGCCGUACCCACUGGGAACCAUGGAGUUGGUUCUCACCCCACGUUGUUUUGGGGUUUUCAGGUCGUUCGUGUGCGGCGCGGCGGCGCAAGGAAAGGGCGUAGAUCCAUAGAUAGCGCCCUACCCAGAGACCAGAGCUAGCAGUACCCCGUCGACAUAGCUUGGGGGUAUGGGGAAAUGAAAAGAACACAAUGUAUCAAAAAUGUAUGAAAGCGAAUGUAUGUAAUAACAUAGGAUGUGUUAUGUUGUUGAUACCUUCCUUAUGCAAUCUGUUUGUUAAAUACUGUUCCUGAUUGGAACCUUUGUGUUGUAUUGAUUGCGAUGCCUUGAAUGUACAGGGGAGACUCUGUCCGUAGUACAGGGGAAACCCUGUCCAUUCGGCGCUGUCGGCGCCGCGACCUCGGCCAAAUAGGCGGGUCGUCGCGGGUCGUGACAGAAGAUGGUUUCAGAGCAUAAACUAGAAAAUGGGAAAAUGGUUUAGAUGACCUAGGAGACCCUAGGAUAGUGAAACCAUAGGAGAAUAAGGCUCGUGAGAGACGAGAACUUGUGAUUCGUGGCGAAAGGUAAUGGAUUGGGUUGUGUCGUAACCUCUAAGACGGAUAUUAGAGGUAGAGUCAAGGUAUGGUUUAUUCUCGACCGAGUGUGUUUAUGUUGGGCGCGCACAACAGAAAGCCGAGAGACGAGAAUAGACGUCCUUGUUUGACUUUCGCCUGAUUGGCUUUUGAGCCGGUGUUAAUGGUCACGUGUUCGACCCGAGUCGGUCGAGAACUAAUCGGGUUGUCCUGUUUCAGGAAGCGAUGGCACCGCGUAGGCAAUCUUCAUCCAGAUCGGCGCGGGAGGGGGUAAGUAGUGUCCCUGAGCAAGUUGAUGCGAGCGAAGACUCGGAGCUUCACGAUCAAUUGGCCACACUCAUUGGAGUGAUGCGGCAACAAGCUAAUGUGGUGCAACGGCAGUAGGAGGCUGCUAUGCGCUAAGAGGGGCGAAUGGAACGACUCCAAGAGACUGUGGAUCGGCUGAUAGCAGCACCAGCUGCGGCUAGUCGAGGACAGCCGGGAGUUGCGGCAGAGAUGUUUCCGUCGGGGUCGGGCGACCCGACCCUUGUUAGCCCAGAGGUUACGGCGGAAAGGGAGCGGGCUUUGGCGGCCCUCAUGACUUUCAAGAAAUUUGAUCCGCCAACCUUUGAUGGAGAAGAUACGGAUCCGUGGGUCGUUGAGAUGUGGAUCGAUUCCAUGGAAACCCUCUUCGAGGAUCUGUACACGUUGGAGCGAGACAAGGUAAACCUAGCCGCGCAUUACCUCAAACAGUCGGUGAAGGUGUGGUGGAAAGGCGUCAAGCGAGAUCGACCGCCUAGUCUCCCUCCUAUGACAUGGGAAGAGUUUCGGGAAAUGAUAUUCUCUGCAUAUUUUCCCAGUAGUGAGAAGCGGAAACUUAAGGAUAGGUAUCUUAAGCUGCGGUAGGGAAGUCGCACGGUUAGACAAUACGAGCGGGAAUUUUCCCGUAUCGUGCAUUGUGUCCCGGACGUGGUGCGGGAUGACGAGGACAAGGCUGAUUGCUUCGUGCGGGAGCUUCGGCCAGACUUGUACCUGGCAGUGCAGGUACUUAAGUUACAGACUUUCGCUGAAGUCUUGGAUCGGGCCUUGUGGAUAGAACAAGGUAAUGCAUUCCUGCGGGAGAAGCGCGAGGAGCAUUACAAGGAAAAGGGAAAGGGACGGCCAGUAAGUGGACAUGAUGGUCAGUCGAGUUCCCAGCAGACCUUAGUGAGGACGCGCUCUCGAUCUAGAGCUCUGGGGACGUAUCACAUUCGGUCCUCGGCGAGAUGUGCAAUCUGUGGAGGCCCUCAUUUUCCACAGCAAUGUGAGCAGCGCGAGGGCAAAUGCUUCAAGUGUGGGCUGCCGGGCCAUGUGCGUGACGAGUGUCCGCAGGGUGAUAACCGGGCCCUGACACUCGCGACGGCCUGUUCUUCUUUGGGACAACCGGCGGGUGUGCCACCUGCGGCAUGGUCGGGAGAGCAGCCGUUGAGGACAUUGCAACCGGAGGGUUCGCGACGAGCGCCAAGUGGCCAUGAAUAAGCGACCCGAGUUGUGGUGCCUGCCGUUGCCGACGACGUCGUGGCAGGUAUGAGUUAAUUAAAGCAAGCCUAUGCUACUAUUUGAUAUCAGAUUGAUGCAUAGCAUGCGUUUAUCAUGGGUCAAUUACUACUAUUUAUACAUUGCAUAGUAGGGACCAAGGGGACAGGUAGAGGUAGACACCCGAGCAUGCUUAUGCGGUGAGAAUGUGGCGCCUGCUGGGGCAGGUAGAGAGCCAAGUGGUACUGGCAAAUGGCUAGUAAGGGUUCUUGGACGAGGAUAGGACUCGUGGCAAAUGUGAUCUAGUAAGUGACUCUCGAAGCAAUGGAUAAGAGAUUGUGAGAGUUGAGCCUUGACGUUUGGGACACCCGAAAAUCCCAAGAGUCGUUCGGGUGCGGAUUCGAUAGAUCGAACAGCGGGGAUGAACUACUGCUGUGAAAUUGGUCGAUUAGCGCCGAGUUUGGCCUGUAGGCCUAGUAGUAACUCGAAUUGAGGUGGACGAGUUAUUGCUCGUGUGGCCGGUGCGCAUAGGCUAAGUUGCCUGAUGCGAGACUUCGUGUGAGACGCGAUAGAGGUGUAGAGCGCUCGAGUACAGUUACUCGUGAGGUGCGGCUUCGAUGCAGCCGGUCGAGUGAAUUGGCAGUAGCACUUCAGCAGGGCUAAGUGUGAAGCGAGCCAUGGAUCACUCGUGAGGGCUGGUGAUUCGCACUAGGUGCCUAAGAGCCGCUAUAGUUGAUAGCUCCUGGUUGGAGUGUGUGCGAGUUCUCCAAUGAGAAUGUCGCCCAAUGAUGAUUGGGUCUAUACUUGUGAGCGAGAGACGCUAGACGUCAUUGAGUUGAGCUAGGUGAUUGACCUACGCAGGAUUGGUGGCCUUAGUCCGCCUGAGGAAACCGAUGGUCGGUAUAGCCGAAAACUCUAAUAGUGAGUUGGGCUUAGGUUCGCGAAUGGAGGAUUCGUGUGGUGGUUGAACGUGGCCUAAAAUGUCAAGAGAAAGUAAAGUGGUCUCUAGGAGACACUUGAAUAAUAGAUAACCACGCAAAGAGUUGGUGUUGAGAAUGAUGCUUUCAAGAGGAUUGAGAAUCCAAGGUGCACGAGAGGAUGCCAUCUCAUGAUAGGUGGGAAUGAGAUGGUUCAGAUAAGAUGAUAAGGUGGUAUCGGGCUCCUAAAUAGCCAACGUGGUGAAGUGCCACCGAGUGGGUACUUGAGCAAUUCGAGAAAGCCUACCCGUGCAUAUAGAAAUGGGGUGGUGGAUCAUUUAUUGAAGUGAUGCGAUCUUGCUGGAUCCACACCACCGGGAUGAAAGGGUAGCCCUGAUCUCGAACGUUGGUGAUGUUCGCUAGAACCGCGAGGGAAUAGGUCCUCUUCAGCCGAGUGGCUGGUAAAGAUAGGGUGUGUAUGGGGUCUUGAAUAUUGACCCACACCGCCGGUGAGGUUUGUAAAGCGGUAAUACACCUUCGAUGUUGUAAGUGGAAAAUGUGAGUAAACGUGGUCUCACAUUUUUCGUAGUGGGCCUUUAAAUGAGUUCGAUGAGAAUAAAGGCCACUCCGAAGUACAAAAGUGCAUUGGAACCCUUGAGUACUCAAUGAGUGGAUCGAGGAAUAAAGAGGGUAGGAAUGAGUGAGUUUCGAGGACGAAACUCUUUUAAGGAGGGGAGAAUGUAACAAUGUGAACUCUCAAAAUCCGAGGGUUGCACCUUGUCUAGAAUCGACUAAGGGUCGAAUGGAUAAGCUUUGGAAAAGCUAAGGAUGCACGAAAUCCGAGAAGUGCAUUGGAAUGGAGUCUGCGAGAGCAAAUAAUGUAAUCAGCAUUUUUGGGCUGAAGUUGCUCUCGGGGACCGGUCUCUGGAGGUGAGAGACCGGUCCCAUCAGCUGAAGGCUGUGGGGUUGCUGAUGCAACCGGUCCCUGGCAGGAGGAGGGACCGGUCCCAGCCUGCGACACCAGUGAAGAGAGCCGAAAAUCGGCUAAGUCCCAAAAGUUUAGCUCUCGGGAACCGGUCUCUCUGAGAGGAACCGGUCUCCCGAGGACCGGUCUCUCAGGAAGGGACCGGUUCUCGAAUGCGUGUCCGCGGGAGAAGGCCCCGGGGACCGUUCCCUGGUCAGGGAGACCGGUCCCUCCGCGCGCAGAACGCCUAGUAAGGGCUGUGUAAGAGACGAAAAGUUGAGGGGCCUUUGGGGAUAUUGUUACAAAAUGAGAGAGGGUAUUAGAGAGACCUUUUCCUCUCUCUCUCUCUCUCACUCCCUCAGUCUCUCUCUCUCUCUCUCUCUCUCCCUCUGAUCGUGCGAAGGGGGAAAGGAAGAAAGGAAAGAAAAGAGAAAGGAGAAGAGAAGAAGAAAAAGGGAAAGGAAAGGAAGAGAGACAAGGAGAGAUCCUCUUCUCUCAUCUUCAUACUUCCUCUUCUCUCAUCUUUGAGACUCUCUCAAGAGGUACAGUUUCAUGCUUCUUGUAAUAGAUCCUUGAAGAUGGGUUAUAAAACCUCUAAGAACAAUGGAUUUAGAGAACCGACUAGCAGCCUCUAGAAGAUGAUUUCACCCUUCCAUUUCAUAGAUCGAUUUGGUGGUUUGAUGUUUAGGCAUUCAUAGGGUCAUCCAUGGGGAUUUUUUUUUGUAAAAGAUGAGUUUGAUCUCAUUUGACCUCUUGUAAACCUAAUUGAAGGUAACGAAACACGUUCGCGGGAAGUCGUUCGGCAGAUCCGACAAGCCGUUGCGAAGAUAUGUGAAAAGGCGGAGCGCUCGGCAGUUCAUCCGCGCGGGGAGCCGAUGGAUCCCAAAUCGUCGAAAUCGGUCCCAGAGCACCGUCGGCGAGGGCCAAGAUCGCUGCACUUGAAAUGUGCAGGCGGCGCGCUCGAGGUAGCAACUGUGAACGGCCCAACGGUUGCCGAGUGGCCGCGGAGGCCGAUUUCAAGUUGUCCGACACAUUCGGUAAAAGCUAUCUAAGGUGGUUUGCUUACCGAAGGACUAGGUCGGCCCUUAUAUUUUAGAAAUCAUACGAAUUCACAAUUGAAUGCAUAUAAGUGCAUUGGUAGCUUACAUGAUAAUAUGAAUGCUUAAACAUAUUAUGUAGUUUGAAUAUUCACCUACCAUGAGAGAAAUGUAUAAUGAAAUUAAACUACAAAAACAAUGCAUGAAAUACAAGUAUAGAUACUUUGGAUAUGACUUAUAUGUAUGUGACAUACUCUUUGAUGCUAGUAACAAUAUAUGGGUGCAUAUGACAUGUUGUGAAAUUAAAUAUUGUGGAUUAUGUUAAAUAGAACAUAUCCAUGAUGACAUAUAUGCAUAUGAUGAAAAAGUUAUUGCAUGUUGCCAUAUUGUGGACAAUAGUAAUGAAUUAUGCAAUGUUAACUUGGAUUAGAGAAAUUGACAUUGAGAAACAAAGAGCAUCGAGUGCAUUAAAUGUAUUGUAUUGACACUAGUAGGUUUUGAGAACCUAGGAUAGGUGAAUCCCUUAAAAAGCUUGUGAUAAAGAACUUAGUAAAGAGUACCGUCAUUCUGGAGAGGAUGUUGUGCGAUGAGUGUAUCUGAGAACAUUGACUCGUAUUGUAGAGAUCCCUCACUUGGAGAGGAUUUGAUUGGGUUUGUUGACUCUAGUUGUAGCAUCCGUCAACUGAGAGGGAUUGAUUGGUUUUUGUUUUACCUAGUUGUAGAGCAAUCGGGAGAGAGAGAGAGACCUCCCAGUCUGCGUUUGGGGAUGACCAGCCAUCCAACCCUCACAUGGAGGAGUGCGUGCGGAAGCUACUACGUCGCGGAGUGUCGUCGAACUAGACCACUUGGAGUCCCACCACAUGACGGUCCCAGACACGGUUCCGGGCUUGAGGUGCACUUGAGUCCUCCGCCCACUUUGGGAUUGAAUAGGUGAGUUAUUGGCGAACGCCAUAGGCUUCGCUACAGAUUGGUAGAAGAGCAGUUAACACUGCCAUUGACAUUAUUAAUUCGAACAUGAGUCGAAUUGAGAUGAUAUAAACCUUUACUAUUUGAUGGCAUGAAUGGUUUUAAGUUCAUCCGCCAGUUGAUGGAUUUCGCCGAGCGUGCAUCGUGAGACACUUUCACCUUGCCUGGCUUUGUGCGUAUUCCGCUAUGUAUUGACUCAACGAACGGAUCGAGUGGAUAGCUUUAAAUGAAAGCAGAUAACCUUAUAGCCAGAAUUGUAAUUGACAAAGCAAUCUAACAUAGAGGAAAACUUAGAAGUCAAUUGGUGAACUGUGAAUAAGCAGGAAUAAAAUAGUAAUCGAUUGAACUAACUAAGUGGUGGUUCGAUGGUUGCAUAAACUGGCAUGAAGUUCAUAUUGCAACUUUUGUGAGGGAGCAACAUGUAUUUCAUACUUGAAUAUAUAUAACGUGUUGGAUAUCUUUGGACUAACAUGUUGCACGGCCUCCUUAGACUAUUGGUCGAUAGGCUUUUCCCCUUGGGUGGAGCCGUUACCACUUGGAAACAUUGGAGUUGGUUCUCACCCCGACGUUGUUUUGGGGUUUUCAGUCGUUCGUGGUGCGUUGCGCGCGGCGCAAGGAAGGGUGAUCCAGAGAUAGCGCCCUACCCAGAGACCCAGAAGCUAGCAGUACCUCGUCGAAAUAGCUGGUAGGGAAAGAAAAAGAACAGGCAAUGUAAUCAAAAAUGAUGAAAGCGAAUGUAAUGUAAUAAACAUAGAUGUGUUAUGUUGUUGAUACCUUCCUUCAUGCAACUUUGUUAAAUACCGUCCUAGAUUGAACCUUUUUUGAUUGAUUGCGAUGCUGAAUGCUACAGGGAAGACUCUGUCCGUAAUACAGGGGAACCCUCCUAUCGGCGCUAUCGCGCCNNNNNNNNNNNNNNNNNNNNNNNNNUUGACUGAGAGACCGGUCCCCGAAGGUCCAGAAAUCAGCCUUCAAGGACUUAGCCAAAUUUUCAGCUUUUUCACCGUUUUCGCUCCGUUUUCACUCGUUUUCGCUCGUUUGACAUCCGAUUCAUUUGAAAUCGAACCGAGACUCUCCAAACAUGUUUUCAAGCAUGUUUUCAUCAUCUUUUCAUCCACGCUAACGCCGGAUUUAGUCCAUGGUCCAACAUAGCCUUUCGGGUCCCGUUCUCGCGCCCUAUGCGCACCGAAGCACCCGAAUGCUCCCGAACUUCGCCGGAACGAUUCCAAUGGCUUUCUAAGCUAACAUACAUCGUAACUUCAUGAAUUAGAAGUUCGGUAUAUUACAGCUUUCUUACUAUGUCACUUACAGUUUUCAUAUCUAUCUACCUAUCUAUCUGCUUUUGCCCACUCAAACCUAGUGGGGAGAUCAGCGGAGUCGGCAGCCGAACCCACUGGAAACUAUGGACAAUAGUUCUCACCCCACUUUGUUGUAGGGCCUAGUUCGAGUGCGCCGGGUGAGGACCGUGGCAAGGGUAUAGCGCCCGAGCAGUAGUUACAUAGUAGCUUUCCUUUUUGCAUUAGUAUCACCUUAUGUAUAUGAGUGACUUAUGUUGGUGAGGAUGUGGAGAGCUAUGUAUGUAUUUUGAUGAUGACCUAGUAGCAAUUGUAUUCAUUUUGGAAAAGAUGUAAAUGUAACUUGAUGUAAAUGAAUGCAAUGUGAUAUAAUAGCUAGUAGAUCUCUCUUUUGUUCACUUGUAUGCGCAUGUGACUCUUGCUCUUGGUUGUUGGCACUUGUUGUGCCCUUCGUUUAUUGUGUAUGUAUAGAAUUUCAUUCCUGGGCAAAUUCUUGUACAUGAUCUAGUUAUUUAGCCUUGGGCAGACAGAGGAGGUGCUAUCCGUUCCGCGUCUGUUCGACGCGCCCGAACCGGACCAAAUUGGUAGCGGUCUCGGGGCGUGACAGAUAGAGAUGGUAUCAAAGCGGUUAAGAGCAAGUAAAGAGAAAGUCUAGGAUCGACCUAGGAGACCCUAAGACGGUGAACCUUAAGGAUAUAGGUGCGUGAGUGGAACGUGGACCUAUAACGGUGGCGGAAGUGAUUCGAUUGGGUCGGAAUGGAGUUUAUGUCUCUAGUAGUUGCUAGAGAUGUAUUCAAGUGGUAUUAGUUCUUGACUUUAGGUGGUUGUGUUGGCGGCCGACAACAUGACGCCAAGGGUCUCGAACAAGUACGCUUGUGUGCUUCCACCCAAUUUCGUUAUUGAUUUGUGACGUGUCGUAGUCGCGACGAAGUAAAUAGGUUAGGAUGAUUAACCAAGUAUUUGCGUUUCAGGAGCUAAUGGCACCGAAGAGACACUACACGCGCAGGUCGGUUCCGGCACCGCCUCUUGAGGUGCCAGAGCAAGUUGGACCUCCCAGGGUGCCCGAGCCUCCUGUGGUGCCCAAACAAGCGGGGUCUAGCGAAGUGCAAGAGUUAUGAGCGCAAGUGACUGCACUGGUUGGUGUAGUGCAGCGCCAAGAAAGCCGAUUCGAGCAGCUCCAAGAGUUGAUGGAGCGGCAAGUGGCGGCAGCUGCUGUAACGACGACAGAUGGUCGUGAUCUAGCCGCACCCUCGGCGCGUGUGCCUGAAGCAGCGGAGGGUGAGGGUAUAGCGGCGGUCCCGGUGGCGGCACGUCGCCCGCCGGCUAUCGCCCCUCCGGCGGCUUCGGGUUCAGCGACACCUGAUGUAGCAAUCGAGGAAGUGGAACGGGAGCGUGCAUUGGCGGCUCUUAUCAAGUUUAGGAAGUUCAAUCCGCCUAUCUUUGAAGGGGAGAGAGUGGAGCCAUCGAUGGUGGAGUCGUGGGUCGACUCAAUGGAAACACUCUUCGAAGACCUAUAUACUCGGAGAAGGACAAGGUGUAUCUCGCUACACAUUGCCUGGAGCAGGCGGCGAAGGUAUGGUGGAAGCGAGUGAAGCGGGAUCGGCCUUCCGACCUUCCACCGAUGCUAUAGGAGGAGUUCAAGAGGGUGAUGUUCGCCAACUAUUUUCCCGACACAGAGAAGCAGAAGCUCCAAAAAAAGUUUCGCAAGCUAAGGUAAGGGGACCGCACUGUGGCGGAUUAUGAGCAAGAGUUUUCCAUAUCAUCGAUUGUGUCCCGGAUAUGGUUCAAGAUGAUCGGGACCGAGCCGACUGGUUCUUGCGAGGACUUCGGCCGGGGAUUUUGUCACGCCCCGGGACCGGCGGAGGCCCUCCCGGUAGCGCGCCCAGACCCGCCAUAUGUCUACACAUAUAAGGCGUCUACAAUAAAAGCAGAAGUAAAGCAAGAGAUAGAAUAAAUAGAAUGAAUAGCAACUAAUGAUAUCAGAGCAAGUAAAGUUCUAUCAUCUAAACUAGAGUAAAAGAAACAUAUCUAAACAAUAAAAGUAACCAUAAGUAAUACAAUAUCUAUCUCAAAGGUACACAAAAGGGGGGUCUCUAGUACACUGGUACAACUCUCAACCUCUCCAAAAAGAAAUACAUCGAGAGGUAGACCACCUAAAAUCGUCACUCGCUGAAGGGCUAACUCGAAGCAGCGCCCUUCCCACGGUCCCUAGCCUCUCCCGGCGUGGAAGGCUCUGAAAGAAAUCAUGAAACAGAGGGCGUGAGAACUAUAAUUUAUAGUUCCCAGUGGGCAAUUACUGACCUCAGCUCAAUGCACCACUAGGCCCCAAAAGGAAAGGGUAAGUCGAAAGCAAUAGUAAUAACGAGUAAUUUGCAUUUAUGAAAGCAUAAUGAAAAUGCUAAACUAUUACUUGCAAUUAAACAUGGCAUUUAUGUAAUGCACAAUUAUCUUGUCAUGAAGGAUAUGUCUCUACUUAGCCAUAAAUAAUGUCAUGGUUUGCUUAAUGAAAUUAUGAGGAUUAUCCUUUAUCAUAGCAACAUUGUAUAUAUGAAUGCAAAUAAGCAAUGUCUCCUAGCAUACUACAUGUAUGUAUGUAUACCCAAAUGUCCAAAUCUAUGCUAGAAGCAAGUCCGAGUAAUCCAACUACUACUCUCUAUCUAGUAGUGAUUAUAACAAACUCAUCCCGUGUCGAUUUUCAUUUCCAAUUAAGGACCUACCCAAGGUAGUCCAGCUUGUGCCGCCUAAGUGCCUGUGGUAGCCCAACAUCCCUACUCUUGGAAUGUGUCUGUCCCACUCGACCCCGUAGGCUUCUCAAUACCGCACGAGCGAACAUAAGUCGCGUAGGCUAACUCCGGAGUGCCGGCUUGUAGGGAGCGACCCUCACAAGCAUGUGCGAAUGAGCACAAAUGGCAAACAAGCAAGGUCAAUGUCUCAAAUAUCCAAUCAUCAUGUCUCUAACAUGGCAAUAAUCACUAGCAUCUCGAAGAUCUAGUUCUAUGUCACAAUGUGAAAUUCUCAUAUUUACUGAGUCUAGUGCCCCUUUAUGACACUUAGACAUUUCGAUGUACAAGCAUGUUCCAAUUCUCUCAAUGGUACUAUCCACUAGGUUCGCACAUGACCGAGCUCAAUGCCCCUUUAUGGCAUUAGCCCAAUUAUUCACAAGUAGUACAAGUCCCCAGGCCUCUUUAUGGCUUACUAAGGUUCUGAUGUCACGAUUAGGCAUAAAGGUUAAAUGCAUAAUAGCAAUGUCCAAUUUCAUAAUGGGAAUCAUAGUUCCAAAUCUCAACUAGGAUGCUAUAUCUCACAUGUAUGCACUCUACCACAUAGAGGUCCAAAAAUUUACUAUAUAUUACCUAUGCAUGUUAAGCAUUCAAAAAUUCAUAAAAAAUGUAUCUAACAUGAUUAUGCAUGCUUUUCCAUUUUACAACACUUAAAACAUCAACAAUGAGAUAUUCUCAUUGUGUGGCUAGAUCAAACCCACCGAACUGUCGCAUGCUUCUUCGAUUCGCCGAACGGAGUUGUCCACGAGUCUCAAAAUACCCUAAAAGUAUUGAGCGAAGAGAUACACGGGCAUUACGAUCAACUAUAAGAUCAAACUUUAACAAACUUAGCAAAAUGGCUAAAACUCACCUAAUGUGUAGGAAAUCUCUCUCAAGCUCCAAAAGGAAGCUAAAUCCCUUCCAAUCCAAGCCCAAGGAAGGUUCUAAUCCAAACAAUCUAGCUCCAAAAGUCCUAGAUUUAAAAUGCCCAAAAUCAAACCCUAAGUAUCAAAUCUAGGGUUCCAUCUCAAAAACUUAGCAAAACAUGGAACAAAAGCUCAAAUCAUGUUGCUAACCUCUCUAGAAGUCUCAACUUGGGCUCCAAAUCAAAUGGGGUGGAAGAUCUUUCCUCCAAUAAGCCUCUAUCAAAGCUCCAAGUCCUCUCCAAUGGCGGAAAAAGCCUCCAAGAUGCAACAAGAAGCAAAAUGAGGCAUUAAUCCUAAAAAAUCUCCAAUAUAACCAAGGAAAAUAAAAAGGAGGGAAUGGAUGGGCUCCUCACCUUGUUUUCCUGUGGUUCCAGCACAAAAAAAGCCCUAAGGGACGUGGGUGCUGUUAUAGAGAGGCUACAAUCGCGAAAAAGCCCCUGCAGUUUCGAACUGCUCAAAAUCUGCCGCCUUGUACCGGUAUACGGGCCCUUGUACCGGUACAAGGCCCAUGAAAUCCAAACCCGAGGCUCGGGUUGCGGGGUUCAGCUGCUCUGUACCGGUACAAACCCGAUAGCUGUACCGGUACAACCAUCAACCUUGUACCGGUACAAGCACACCCUUGUACCGGUACAAGACCUCCAGAAAGCAAAUCCGAGAGCUGACGAAAAUCUAAUUUUUGGAUUUUGGUACACAGCUCUAAACCACAAUUCUCGGGACACGUGCCAUAGGUCGAAACACAGUCAACGACCCGCCAGAAAAUCUGGAAAAGCUCAGAACACAGCCAAUCACUCGAACCUCGCAAUUUGCAAAUGUCCAGUGUGUUACAGAUUUACAAGGUCGUGCAGAUACUCAAGCUCACGACCUUUGCAGAGGUCUUCGAUCGACCGCUGUGGGCGGAGCACGGUGAUGCCCAUGUGCACGAGGAGCGUGAGCUGUUGGCCGAGUCGAAGGACAAAGGCAAGAAACGACAAGGCGGCGGUUCGGGGGGACAAGCAAGCUCCAAGAAGCCCCGAAGUAUCCGCGGACUCAGUACAAGGGUCAUGGAGUGCGACGGUGUGUCAUAUGCCGCGGAGACCACCAAGAAUCGCGUUGUGAUCAGCGCCAAGGCAAGUGCUUUAAGUGCGGGCAACCGGGGCACUUCAUACACGACUGCUCGGGAGGGGGAGCUUCGCCUGCUCGAUCUAUUGCAUCAGAGCCGGUAGUUCCAGCUCACUAUGCAGAAUCUCCACCGGCGGCGGUGUCAGCGGGACGCGUGAUUGCGCCGCGACAACCCAAGACGGCGCGAUCGGCCCCGAGCGGUCGGGUAUUCGCCGCUCAGGUUCAAGUCGAGGAGCCUGCUAAGAUGGGGGAGCAUCACCUUGUGGCAGGUAUGGUUUUGAUUAACGGAGUUCGCUCCAGGGCUAUGUUUGAUACAGGUGCCAUCCACUCAUUUAUUAGUAGGUCAUUUGCACGCAUGCAUGACAUAGACAUACAGGCGGGUGAGGGUAGUGUAGUGCACUGGACCUUUGCAAAUUACGAGGUUCGAGUGUUUGGAUGUAUUUCAAGCUUUUCCACACUUGGUGGAGGGUUGUAGAAUGUUUUCCGACCCAAAAAGUUCGAAAACUGGAAUUCUGCACGAGAGUAGAGUACUUGAGACCUUGACCUUGCUUGCUUGCCAUUUGUGCUCAUUCGCACAUGCUUGUGAGGGUCGCUCCCUACAAGCCGGCACUCCGGAGUUAGCCUAUGCGACCUAUGUUCGCUCGUGCGGUAUUGAGAAGCCUACGGGGUCGAGUGGGACAGACACAUUCCAAGAGUAGGGAUGUUGGGCUACCACAGGCACUUAGGCGGCACAAGCUGGACUACCUUGGGUAGGUCCUUAAUUGGAAAUGGAAAUCGACACGGUUUGAGAAUGAACAAUCACUACCAGACAAGUUUAGUAGUUGGAUUACAUUUACAUGCAUAUAGCCUAGGAUUGAGAUAUGUAGUAUACUUGACAGCUACCUAUUUCACCACAGUAUACUUGGUUGCCAUGAUAGAGCUUAUACGCCAGGUAUGAAUAAAGGGUUGUAACAGUAAACUAUUGCCAUUGGUUACUUUCCCUUAAGAUAGAAUAGAUGUACAACAUUUGGACAUCGUGCUUAUGAGGGAUAUAGUAGUACAGCAUUUUACUUAUGCUCUCACUUUCAGCAGUUUAUUACAUGCUUCUUUUUAUUGCUCAUUGUUAUUACGUUACUUGCCCUUUUCUUUUGGGGCCUAGUGGCGCAUUGAGCUGAGAAUUGCCCACUGGAAACUAUAAAUUAUAGUUCUCACGCCCUCUUUUUCUCGAUGUUUUUCAGAGCCUUCCACUGAGGGUGAGGCCAGGGACCGCGGGAAGGGAGUUGCUUCGAGCUAGCUUCCUACGAGGACGACUUGCUAGGUGGUCUACCUCUCGUUGUAGUUUUUUAUUUUGGAGAGGUUGAGAGUUUUACCAGUGUACUAGAGACCACCAUUUUUGGUAUUAGAGGCUGAUACUGUAUAACUUAUGUCUACUUUUAUGUAUUAGUUAUGUUCUAUUACUAUUUGUAUAGAUGUUAGAACUUUACUCGCUCUGAAAUCAUUAGUUGCUUGUUAUUUCACUUCUUUUAUUUGAUCCAUCCCUUGCUUUUACUUCCGCUUUUCUUGUAGACGCCUUAUAUGUGUAGACAUAUGGCAGGUCUCGGCACGCUACCGGGAGGGCCUCCGCCGGUCUCGGGGCGUGACAGGUAGGUGGCGAGUAGAGAGCCCUGGGCCGGCACUUCAUAUUUAUACGGAGUGCCCGUCAUGUCCGGUGCAAAUAGGUGACUGGAUAAUGCCUAUUCAGACGUUGGUGCUCAAGAAAUUAAAGAAUUUCGAUGUCAUAUUGGGCAUGGACUGGCUCUCGAAGCAUUACGUGACGGUUGACUGUUAGAGCAAAGUGAUCACAUUUCCUGAGCCAGGAUAGGAGGAGUUCACGUACAAGGCGUGUGAAAGCUCAUGCUUCGCCGCGACGGUAUCAACGACAAGAACAAGAAAGUUGGUCAACAGUAGUUGCGCAGCUUAUUUAGCAACCGUUGUGGAAAUGGAUCGGGCGGCUCCGACCUUAGAAGAGUUGUCGGUGGUGCGGGAGUUUCCGGAUGUAUUUCCCAUGGAGUUGCCGGGAAUACCGCCGGAUCGGGAGAUCGAGUUCGUUAUAGACUUGGUUCCCGGUACCGCGCCGAUCUCGAAGGCUCUGUAUCGAAUGGCGCAAGCGGAAUUGAAGGAGUUGAGGACUCAAUUGCUAAAUCUCCUCGAUAAAGAGUUUAUUUGGCCGAGUGUAUCGCCGUGGGGAGCCCCAGUCUUGUUAGUGCGCAAGAAGGAUAGAUCGUUUCGACUCUGCGUGGACUACCGUGAGUUGAACAAGGUCACGAUCAAGAAUAAGUACCCAUUACCCCGAAUCGACGACUUGUUUGAUUAGCUGCAGGGGUCAUGCGUGUACUCGAAGAUAGAUCUGCAAUUUGGCUAUCAUCAAUUAAAAAUUAAGCCGGAGGAUGUACAGAAGACCGCGUUCCGUACGCGAUAUGGACACUAUGAAUUCACAGUCAUGCCAUUCGGCUCACUAAUGCCCCGGUAGCGUUCAUGGAUUUGAUGAACCGUGUCUUCAAGGAGUUUUUGGACCGAUUUGUCAUGGAUUUCAUAGACGACAUAUUAGUCUAUUCUCGCAGUGACGAGGAGCAUGCCGAGCAUCUAAGGAUAGUGCUUCAAAUCCUCCGGGAGGAGAAGCUAUAUGCGAAGUUGAAGAAGUGCGACUUUUGGCUUCGAGAAGUUGCAUUUCUUGGACAUGUCAUUUCCGAGGGGGGAGUUUCUGUUGACCCAAGAAAAAUUGAGGCAAUCAAGGAUUGGCCGCGCUCGACGAAUGUCACGGAAGUCCGAAGCUUUGUGGGCUUAGCGGGCUAUUAUAGACGGUUUGUGGAGGGUUUCUCGAAGAUCGUGGUUCCACUUACCCGUCUGACUCAAGAAAGCACCAAGUUCGUCUGGAGCGACGAGUGCGACCGGAGUUUCAAAGAGUUGAAAGAGAGAUUGACUUCGACUCCGGUGCUCGCUCUACCGAUGCAGGGUGAAGACUUUGUGGUAUAUAGCGACGCGUCCUAUUCGGGUUUGGGGUGUGUUCUAAUGCAAGGCGGGAAGGUGAUCGCUUAUGCGUCCCGUUAGUUGAAAAGCUACGAGAAGAACUACCCUAUCCACGACUUGGAGUUAGCCGCGAUAGUAUUUACACUCAAGUUUUGGAGACAUUAUUUGUACGGUACGCGUUGCGAGAUAUAUACUGACCACAAGAGUCUAAAGUAUCUGUUUACACAGAAGGAGUUCAAUAUGCGACAGCGGCGGUGGUUGGAAUUAUUAAAGGAUUAUGACGUCACGAUCCUUUACCACCCUAGGAAGGCGAAUGUGGUUGCUGAUGCCCUUAGCAGAAAGUCGGUGAAAAACCUCGCGUUGAAAGUCAUGACUCAGAGUCCUCUAUGCAAAAAGAUGAAGCGGUUGGAUCUCGAGGUAGUGGCUCCGGGGGUUUCGGCUAUGUUAUCGGUUCUCGUUGUUCAACCGACCUUGUUGGAGAGAAUUAAGAGUCUACAACCCGCGGACCCUAAUGCGGCGAGACAUCGAGGGUGGACGUGGUAGCGAUUUUGGUAUAGACUCCGACGGUGCGCUUCGGUUUCGUAACCGUUGGUGCGUACCGGAGAAUGAGGAAGUCCGAAGGUUGAUUUUGCAGGAAGCGCAUCAGACUCCCUAUAGUAUCCAUCCGGGCAGCACCAAGAUGUACCAGGAUCUAAAGAUGCAGUACUGGUGGCUGGGAAUGAAAGCAGAUAUUGGACGCUACGUGGUGCAGUGCCUAGUAUGCCAACAAGUUAAGGCGGAGCGCCGAUUUCCAGCAGGAAAGCUUCAGAGCCUACCUAUCCCUGUUUGGAAGUGGGAGGACAUAGCUAUGGACUUCGUGGUUGGAUUGCCCCAUUCAUCGGGUGGCCACGAUGCGAUUUGGGUUAUUGUGGACCCCAUUACCAAGUCAGCGCAUUUUCUACUGAUCCACACUACCUGGUCGGGUGAUAAGUUGGCUCAGGUGUACCUUGAUGAAGUGGUGAGGUUGCACGGGGUUCCGAAAUCAAUAGUAUCGGAUCGAGACCCCGGAUUCACUUCACAUUUUUGGAAGCACCUGCAGGAAGCCCUUGGCACACGGCUUGAUUUCAGCACCGCGUUCCGUCCUCAGACAGACUAGCAGUCAGAGAGAACCAUCCAGAUUCUGGAGGAUAUGCUGCAGGCCUGUGUCAUUGCUUAUAAGGGUAGUUGGGCAAGUCACCUACCUAUGGCCGAGUUCGCCUACAACAACAGUUACCAAGCUAGUAUUGAGAUGGCACUGUUCGAGGUCCUUUAUGGGCUGAAGUGUCGAUCUCCUAUACACUGGGGUACCUGAUGUAGGUGAGCGUGCGGUGCUAGGCCCCGAGGUAUUGCGGGAGGCGGAGGAGAAAGUCCUCCUUACUCGCAAGAGAUUGCUCACAGCGCAAUCUAGACAGCAAAACUAUGUGGAUAAGCGCCGUCGAGAUCUAGAGUUCGCGGUGGAUGACCGCGUGUUUUUGAAGGUCUCACCGAUGUGGGGUGUGAAGCAUUUUGGAGUUCAGGGAAAGUUGAGUCCUCGGUAUAUUGGGCCGUACGAGGUAUUGGAGCGAGUUGGAGCUGUAGUUUACCGGCUUGCAUUGCCACCGCAACUCGCGAAAAUUCAUAAUGUAUUCCACGUCUCCAACCUUCGCAAGUAUAUCCACAACCCCGAACAUGCGAUGUUGUACGAACCGCCGGAACUUCAAGAAGACUUGAGUUACGAAGAGUUUCCGGUGAUGGUUAUUGCUCGAGGGGUGCGCAAGUCAUGAAAUUCCCUACGUCAAGGUCCGGUGGAGUAAUCACGUUGACUGCGAAGCCACCUGGGAACUCGAGGAUCUGAUGAAAGUGCAUCAUCCUCACCUGUUUGAGGAAUAAGGUAUAAAAAUUGAGUUUACGUUGGAAUUGGAUUAGUUUCGGGGACGAAACUUCUUUUUUGGAGCGGAGGAUGUAAGGAAGUGAAUUCUCGAAAUCCGAGAGUUGGAUUCCGCUUAAAAUCGACUAAUUGUCGAGUGGGUAUGCUUCGGAAAAGCCGAAGAAGUCGAAAACCCAAAAAGUGCAUUGGCGAGGGCCUCGGACGGAAAAGCCGAAGAAGUCGAAAACCCAAAAAGUGCAUUGGCGAGGGCCUCGGACGGAAAAGCCGAAGAAGUCGAAAACCCAAAAAGUGCAUUGGCGAGGGCCUCGGACGGAAAAGCCGAAGAAGUCGAAAACCCAAAAAGUGCAUUGGCGAGGGCCUCGGAGAGCAAAAGAAUUAAAAUCUGCAAUUUUGCAGAUUUUACUCUCGGGAACCGGUCCCUGGUGGGAGAGACCGGUCCCCGUAAGCUGAAAGUGCGGCAGGAAACUCUGCGCGCGAUGUUUACUCUCGGGGUCCGGUCCCUCAAGCGGGGACCGGUCCUUGAAGGUCCCGUCCCUCAGGCCAGGACUGGUCCCCGUACGCAUAGAAGCUAGCUGAGAGCCUCUGCCCGCAAGGGUUUCUUUCGGGGACCGGUCCCUUUAGGGACAGACUGGUCCGCGAGCACGAAAAUUGCCCAGUCUGGGCUGUGUGAGGGAAGCAAAGCGGAGGGGUUAUUAUGCAAUUGUUGCAUUAGUGAGGGGUAUAGAGGGGAGAUCACUCUCUCCCUCUCUCAUUUUCACCCAACACACUCUCCCUUUCUCUCUCUCUCUCUAAACACACUCUCUCUCUCUUGAAGUGAAAAAGGAGAAGAAGAAAAGGAAGGAGAAGAAGGAGAAGCAAGCUAGAGAAGGACUUUGGUCAUCUUCUUCUUCCUCUCCUCACCAUUGGAGCACGCUUAGGGGUAAGCUUCUAAACCCAACAAUGGUAAAAACCUAGGGUUUGGAUUGUUAGCUCUAGAAUGGGUUUGAUUAGUGUUCUAGCAUGUUUAAUAGUUGCUUAAUGCUAGAAUCUAGAGUUUUGUCGUAGUAUUUUGCAUAGAUGCAAACCUAGGGCUCUAAAUUCAGGUUUUGUUAAAUAGUGAGGUUUGAUCUCAAUUGAUGGCAUCUAAACCUAAUUGCUAGGCGUCUAAACACGUUGGCGAAGACGGAUUGACGAUUCGUCGAGUCGUUGAAAAGAUAUCGGCAAAACAAGACCGAUUGGGCUUCGUUUCCGCCUCGGAGGCCGAAACGACAUCGUAGCAAGUGCCGAGUAGCGUUCUUAGAGCUUCGACAUCGUCGAAAGGUGGGUGGUGUCAUCCCGAAGCAACCGGGUUCCUCUCUAUGUCUUAGCACACCAUGAUUUUGCAUCUCUUGCAUAUUGCAUUGUAGGAUUGCUUUUUUUUCCAUUCCUUAUGCUGUCUGAUUGAUAUCAUAGUGUGAGUUGAAUGCUUGGUAUAAUGGAUAGAUAAGGAUUGGGUCUUGACAUUGAAUCCUAUAGUGCCGAGGAAAAGAGAUGGACUUGAUGGUUACCUAGUGACAUAAUGAGUGGCACAUGAUUGAUAAAUGAAUAGAGCGAGUGGCAUAUAACUUAGUGUAAAAUGACACUAGUGGGUUGUGAAUUUAGGGAUAGGUGGAUUCCCUAGUGAUGACUCGUUGAACAAAAACAUAGUGUAGUUAAAUAUUUACACAUGGGCAUUGGGAUAGACGAAUUCCCGAGUGACUAUUAGCCCUAGUUGAUAAGGUAUCCUCGAGUUGAGAGGAUCGGAUCAUACUCACAGUCUGUUUAUACUUGUGGUGGUCUCACCACACAAGUCAUCGUGCACUUCGGGGUUUGGCGCGAGAGAGACAGAGUUGAUGUCCCGCAAACGGUCCCGGGUUUGAGUGUGAGGUGAGUCUCCUUACCAUACGGGAUGGCGAGGUGAGUCGUGGGCGAACCCGAGGGAUCGCCAAGGAUUGAGUAAACAAGAGAAUAGCAUUGUUAUUGAACAUUUGCUUAUUGGACAUGGUUAGUGGACAUAGUGGCAUGUUAGUAAACUGUUUACUAUUUGAGGCAUGCAUGCAUUACACAUGAUUGGGCAUAGUAGCAUUGUCACGCCCCACUACCGACACCAAUUUGGGCCGGUUCGAGCACGUUAAACAGACGCCGAACGGACAGAGUUUCCCCUAUCCGCCCAAGGCUCAUCACAUGUACAUUUUCAAAUAAAAAGUGACUAGCAGAAACAUACAAACACGGCUUACACGAGGGAAAGCAAUAGCCAUGAGUGAAGAGAUAGGAAAGCUAUGUAACUACGCAAGUACUAUGAUUCAUUUUGAUCACAUACAUGUAUUCAUUUACAUUCAUGAUUGUUUGCAUUUCAUUACAUUACAUCGUUUGCAUCAUUUCUUUUACAUCACAUUUACCACAAAAUGGGCUUUACAUUCUUUUCUUUACAUCACUAGUCAUCAAAUACAAAAUAUGAACAUAGGGUACUCUACUAACAAAAUGUAAACCCAACUCAACUCUGGUGGCCUCUGUCUAAGGCGCGAUACCUUUACCUCGGUCGCUCGCUGGCUCGCUCGAUCCCGGCUCUGUGGAAGUAGUGGGGUGAGAACUAUAACAAAGUUCCCAGUGGGUUCGGCCCCAACAUCACCGACUUUACCACUAGGACUAACUCAGGCAUAAUAGAAAGGAUAAGCAGAAUAGUAACUAAACUAUAGUCAUGAUGCUAAUAUGCCUGAACAAUAAAGCAAGGAAUAUGCUCAACAUAAAUUAUGCAAAUUAUGCAAGUUCUUUAUUCUUUUACUCUUUGUUCUUUUGUUCUUUAAUCUCACGGCUAACCCGGGGGUUUCGCCACAUUAACUUACCCACAUUAAGUCCAUCAUCGCGGGCCCUCAGCUUCCUCCCGCUAAGACCGUCCUCGGGUUUACUCCAACCCGUGAUGCAAAAACUCCGGAGCGCAUCGCUCGAGGGGGUGCGACCACCCUCAAGCACGGAACUCAUAGCAAGUAUGAUCGAAUUCUUAACUCUAAGGAUUAUAAGUUCAAUCAUGUCGUUACACUAACUCUAGUGUCCUUUACAUCACUUUAUGUUGCUAACUCUAGCAAUCGUUGUUCUUUGCUCUUUACAUGUUCUUUUUGCCCCACUUUGCAUUAUUCUUUCAUUCUUUAUUCUUGAUGCCACACUUUGUAUUAACUUUAGCCAUUGUCAUUACCUUUACAUCACAUUGAUUCUUUGCCCCACACUAACUCUAGUGUUCUUUACUUUACAUUAUCAAAUGCCACUCGAUCUAUGUCAUAGUGUGUCACUCUUCUUUUGCCUCACUUGGGUGCUCACAUUUCCUCUCAUGCAGACAUAUAGGGUUUCACAUUUAUAUAGGUUCUCAACCAUUAUUAAGCAAGACGUACUCACAAUCAUGCCAAAUCACAUUCUUUUCAUUGCUUUACCCAAAAUGCAUGCAACAAUGUAUGUAACAUAUGCUCAAUUGAAUGACGCAUUAGGCAUAGAAGGAAGUUCAAUGAGUUUGGAUAGCACCACCCACCUCGUAGGCUUUCUUCGGUGCUUCGACGAUUUUCUUGGGAUUUUUAGACACCCGGUUCGCUACCUGCGAGUUAACGAAGCCAAAUUAGGCUUAUUUGGCCCUAACUUUACAUCGGCUUUUCGUAACGUCAAUCCGAGCGCGCCAACGCGUCGGAAAUACCCCCAAUUAGGUUUCUAGAGGGUCAAUUGCACUUUAGAACCCUCGCAAGCAAAAGCCCCCAAUUUGGGUGCCCUAGCUUCAUAGCAUUUGAAAACCUAGGGUUUGAUCUCAUUGGGAAGCAAAAGAAGCUUCAUUGUACUCUAAAUAGCCCAUCUAAACCAUUCCUAGCUUAAUCAAAAUCCUAGUUUGGAUUUCACCAUGAGAGGUGUUGAAGCUCUCCUUCAAGCUUCACCUCCAACAUUCAUGCCAUGGUCUUGAUCUCAAAUGAAGCAAAAGAAAAGCUUCAAAGACUAAAACAGCUCUAGAAAAACCAUUACUAGCUUAAUCUAAACCCUAGAUUAGGCUCUACCAUGAUUAGGGCUCAAGGCUUACCUUGUAAGCCUUCCUUUUCCAAGUUAGAGAUGAGGGAGAGGGAGUUUCUUCACUCCUUCUUCUUCUCCACUUUCUUCUUCUUCUUUUCCUUUCCUUCCUUUGUCUUCUUCUUCCUCUUCUUGUCUUCUAGAGAGAGAAAGAGAGAUGAGAGGGGAUGAGAGGAUGAGAAUGAGAGAAAUACCUCAUUACCCCUUAUACAUAUCUCUAUGGGUUGCAAAAUUACAGCUAAACCCCUCAACUUUCAUUUCAUUACACUGCCAGGACUGGGCAGAUUUCGCAUGCGGGGACCGGUCUCCCCGACUAGGGACCGGUUCCCGAAGCUCCUCCCUACGGCAGCCAGGGCUCCCGCGCGAUGCGACCGGUCUCUCUUUGGGGGACCGGUGUCUCGGGGACCGGUUCCCGAGAGCAGGUUUUCUGGGACUUAGCCAAAUUUUUGGCUGUCUCAUUUCUCACGCGUUCAGGGACCGGUCCCCGAGAUUUAAAAUUCUGCAGUUUGUAGAAUUUUGACCUCUUAGCUCUCGAAAACCUUCCAUAACACACUUUUACUCAUUUUAACACCUCCGUACUUUCCGAAGUGUACCAACCUCACACUUUCGUCAAUUUGACUAAAGUUCGAUAUUUAUUUACCGAAGCUUUUCGGUAUAUUACAUUCUCCACCCCUUAAAAUAAUUUCGUCCUCAAAAUUAACCAUACCAUAACUCGUUGACUCGAAUAAAUGCGGAUAGUUCCGCCGUAUCAUUUCCUCGAGCUCUCAAGUUGCUUCUCGCACCGCAUGGUUGCUCCAUUGGACUUUCACAUAAGGAAUUCUGCGACUCCGCAGCUUUCGUUCCUCUCGAUCGAGUAUGCACACGGAGUACUCCUCAUAAGACAUGUCUUCGCGUAACUCCACGGGCUCAUAUUCUAACACAUGUGUCGAGUUGCGAAUAUACUUUCGAAGGUUUGACACAUGGAGCACAUUGUGAACUCCCGCGAGUCUCGGUGGUAGUGCGAGCUUGUAGGCCACCGCAGCCACGCGCUCCAAAAUCUCGAACGGUCCGACAUAUCGGGGACUUAGCUUCCCACGGACCCCAAAACGUUUUACUCCACGCAUUGGCGAUAAUCUUAAGAACACGCGGUCUCCAACCGCGAACUCUAGAUCUUUUCUUCGCUUGUCGGCAUAACUCUUUUGCUGAGAUUGCGCCGCCGCUAAUCGUUGACGAGCAAGACGAACCUUUUCUUCCGUCUCCCGUACCACAUCUGAACCAAGGGCCGCUCUCUCACCCACGUCGCUCCAAUAGAUAGGAGAACAACACUUGCGUCCAUACAAGGCUUCAAACGGAGCCAUCGCGAUACUUUCUUGGUAACUGUUAUUAUACGCGAACUCCGCCAUCGGCAAGAAAUCAUUCCAACCGCCUUUAUAAUUGAGUACACAUGCUCGAAGUAAAUCCUCAAGGAUCUGUAUCGUCCGCUCCGACUGUCCGUCAGUUUGAGGAUGGAACGCUGUACUGAAGUCAAGCCGUGUGCCCAACGCAUCCUGCAAACUCUUCGAGAAAUGAGAUGUGAACCUGGGGUCUCGAUCUGACAGAAUCGACACUAGAACCCCAUGAAGUCUCACAACCUCGUCGAGAUAGACUUGAGCUAACUUGUCUCCCGACCACGUAGUAUGUAUCGGCAAGAAUUGUGCCGACUUUGUCAAUCGAUCCACUAUCACCCAUAUCGCAUCGUGUCUGCCUUGUUAUCGAGGCAAACCGGUAAUAAAGUCCAUCGCUAUAUCUUCCCAUUUCCAAACGGGUAUAGAUAAACUUUGUAGCUUUCCCGCCGAAAAUCAGCGCUCGGCUUUCACUUGUUGGCACGUUAGACAUUGCACCACGAACUCCCCAAUAUCUCUUUUCAUGCCCGACCACCAAUAAUGUUCUUUCAAGUCCUUAUACAUUUUAGUGCCGCCGAGGUAUAUGCUAUAAGGGGAUUGGUGCGCUUCUUGCAUAAUCGCCCUUCUUAACUCGUCAUCCUUAGGCACACACCAUCGAUUUCUAAAUCGAAGUGCGCCCUCGGCUCCAAUACCAAAGUCUUCAGCAUAGCCUCUCUCAACUUCACUUCGUACUUUUUGAAGAUAAGGAUCUGAAGCUUGAAGUUCUUUAAUCCUCUCGAACAGGGUCGGUUGCACAAUAAAUGCAGUAAGAACGGCCGGCACUCCCGGCGCUACUACUUCCAACCCAAGACGUUGCAUUUCCUUGUGCAAUAGCGGUUGAGGCGUGAUUGCCGUCGCUAAAUUAUCCGCCGACUUUCUACUCAACGCAUCGGCUACGACAUUGGCUUUCCCGGGGUGGUACAGUAUAGUGACAUCGUAGUCCUUCAACAACUCUAACCACCGCCGUUGUCGCAAAUUCAACUCUUUCUGGGUGAACAAGUAUUUGAGACUCUUGUGAUCAGUGUAGAUCUCGCAAUGCUCACCAUACAAGUAAUGCCUCCAAAGCUUCAACGCGAAGAUCACCGCGGCUAACUCAAGGUCGUGAAUCGGGUAGUUCUUCUCAUAACUCUUUAAUUGGCGCGAGGCAUAAGUAAUGACUCGCCCAUUUUGCAUUUGUACACACCCGAGACCAACAUACGAGGCAUCACUGUACACUACAAAAGUUUCCCCCGGAGUCGGCAAGGCAAGCACCGGGGUCGACGUCAACCUGUCCUUUAACUCUUCGAAGCUCCGAUCGCAAUUGUCGCGCCAAACAUACUUUAUUCCCUUACGCUUGAGGCCCGUUAGUGGAGUGGUUAUUUUGGCGAACCCCUCCACGAACCGCCGGUAGUAGCCCACAAAUCCAAGAAAACUGCGGACCUCCGCUACAUUCGUCGGGCGAGGCCAAUCUCAUAUUGCCUCAACUUUCUUCGGGUCUACGAACACUCCGUCGCUCGACACCACUGUUAGGUCCUAUGUGUUGGCAAGUUUCGUGGGUCGAGUCGGAGUCUUGAAGAAGUCCGGAGCGGAGUAUUGAAGAUCGAAGAAUCCAAGACUUCGAAGAAUCGGAAAUGACGCAAAACACGUAAAACAUAGAUCGACGAUUGCUUAAGGUAAGCUUUAAAUCUUGUUGUAUGGAUGCAUCUACUUAAUUAUAGAGUUUAGAAUCAUGUUUUUAAGGUUGUAAUUUGAUUAGAAAGUUUCUAAGAGCUUGUAAAACUGAACAAUGCAUUUUCAGCCGAAAAUUGCAUGUGUACCGUACCAAAGAGUUUUCUGUCCAGGGUACACCAAUCAGCGUUGUGCCGCAGAAAAAGUUUGAUGGGUCUGUCCGCGUAACAACCCUCACGGCAUGAUCAGGGUACAAGCCCUGCUCGUACAAGAUGAGUCUGUCAGGGUACAGAAGCUUCGGCGCCAGAAAAAUCUUCCGUCAUGCUGUACCCUGGAACAGCCUUUCCUUGUUCAGGUACAAGGUGCACUGAUUUUGGAAAGAAACUUUCUAAUCCUACUCUGUUUUGAUUCUAAUGUCCUAUAAAUAGCGUAUAGGGCGUUCUCUAACGAUUAAGUCAUAGAAUACAUGUUUGAGAAACCCUAGAGGCUCGUGGAUUUCAUUUAAACUCUAUUUUCUACAAAUAGCCUCUUUAUCAGAUCAAAUCGAGAUAUCGUUUCGCAUUCUCUAUAUGUCGAUUUGAUCUCCGCUUCGCUUCGGAAGUUAUAUUCCCUGGUUUUCUACCGAACUCCUAAGCGAAGGGAUCACCAUAAUCAGUGAUACUCUUCAUAUGAACGGCGUCGUGUGAUUCGCGAUCAUCCGUGAACAAGGGCCGUUGUGGAUUCGGAAUCGUUGGCUCGUGGAUUCGAGUGGCGUGUGGAUUCGGCGUUUGAUUGAAGCUUCUGGAUUCGAAGUUGGAGGCGUUCGUGGGACUCGAACGUGAGGGCGGGGACAACCGGAGGGUAGCGCGAAGAUCAUAGGCAGGGUGAUAGAGUGGUUAGUCCGAUGGAGUCGGUAAUACCUUGGUAUCUUUUCUCUUAGUGAAUUAUUUUUUCGCGAUGUUGCGUCCCUGGUUUUUCUCUAAGCUGGUUAUCCCAUGUAAAUCUCGGUGUGCUUUUUAUUUUCCGCAUUUAUUUUUAUUGCAUCGAGAUUUGUGGUUUUUGGCCUUUCACCUAUUCACCCCCCUCUAGGUGAUAGAUACAAUCUAGAUAGAUCCUUGGGCUCCUCAAAACUUUCAAUUGGUAUCAGAGCAGGAUCUAGAUAAAUUGCUUUCUAAUGGCCGAAGGCGGUAACGUUAAUCGACCACCACUCUUCGAUGGCACGAAUUAUGCCUAUUGGAAAGUUCGCAUGAGAGCUUUUCUAAUUGCAAUCGAUGAGCUGAUAUGGAAAGCUAUUGAAUUCGGAUGGAAACAUCCUACCGAAGUUGUCGAUGGUGAUACCGUCUCUAAACCACGAAACAAGUGGACAAAAGAUGAAAACGAGUCAUCUUCGUUUAACGGUAAAGGAAUUAAUGCUUUAUUCAACGCUUUAUCGCAAACGGAGUUUACUCGGGUUUCGGCAUGCGAAACGGCCAAGAAAAUUUGGGAUACUCUACAAAUUACACAUGAGGGUACUAGUUUAGUAAAAAUUCAAAAGCUCCAAAUGUUGACUAGUCAACUUGAUUCUAUUCGUAUGGAAGAGCAUGAAUCUUUUACCGAUUACUACAAUAGGCUUCAAGAUAUCAUUAAUACAUGUGCUAAUUUAGGAGAGAAAAUUCCGGAUUCUAAAGUUGUUCGUAAAAUUCUUCGAACUCUUCCGGAACGUUUUCGGGCUAAAGUAGUCGCGAUCGAAACGGUCAAACAUUCGGACGAGAUGAAAGUCGAGGAAUUAGUAGGUGCUUUACAAACUUACGAAAUGACCUUUCCUACUAAUCAAUCUUCUUCCAAGUCUUCUUCUAAAAGCAAAGGUGUUGCAUUGAAAUCUACAAAGGAGAAGGACGAAGACUCGAGUUCCGACGAUGAUUUAUCAAUUGUGGACUUUGAACAACAAUUGGCGCUUCUUACGAAGAAGUUUCGUCGAAAUUUUCGGAACAAGAAUAGAUUGGACAAGGCUUCAUCAUCUAAGCGACAAUCUUUGUCUAAAUCAUCUUCAUUGUCAAAGUCUAAGGAUAAAAACCGUGCAAAGUCUUCAAAGGAAAAGGAUGAAUUUGAAGGAGAGAUCCAAUGCUUCAAGUGCAAAGGUUACGGCCACAUUGCGACGGAUUGUCCUUCAAAGAAGACAUAUAGACAAAAGGCUAUGCAAGCAAAGACGUGGGAUGAUUCAACAUCAAGUGAAUCAUCGUCAAGUGACGAAGAUAAGAAUGAUCAAAUUGCCUUAUUUACUAACACUUCUCUACCUUCGUCGAAUGUUGUAUGUUUAUCCUCUUUUGCUACUAAUUCCAACAUUUCUCUUUCUUCACAUGAUUCUUCGAGCAACAAUGGCGAAAGUGAGGAGGAAUCAAACGACGACAACAUAGGGGAAGCGUACAAUCAACUUCUCAUUGAAUCAAAAAAGAUGGCUAAACUCAACAAGAAGUUGAGACGUCGUUUGUUGGAACUUGAGGAGGAAAACAACAACGUAAAGAAUUUGAAUAAGGUUCUUGAGGAGGAAAGGGAUUCAAACUUGAAGAUUAAUUCGGACCUCCAAGAGAAGCUUAAUGAAGCGGAAUCAACGAUCAAAUCUUCUAACAAUAAGAUUGGAAUUUUGGAGCAUCAAUUUCAUGAAUCGCACAAGUCCAAUCAAGUCUUGACAGAUCAAGUUCGUCAACUCCAAUCCGAUCUUCAACAAUUUUCUUCGGGAUCAAAGAAGUUGGACAAAAUGCUUGGAUUGGGUCAAACGAACAAAUUGGGCCUCGGAUAUGAACGGACAUACGUUGAAAAGGAUUCAAUAACAACUUCUAAAGUCUCAACAACUUCGAAAGAGAAAGUGUGUCAUAAAUGUGGCAAGAAAGGACACAUUAAAAGGAAUUGCCCAAAUAAGGAAAAGAAGUAUCAAUCGGCAAUGUCUAAACCUCAAACGGCAUCAUCUACAACUCGACUUCCCCCGCGGAAUCAAAAGAAAAAUCAAGUUAGUCGAGUACCUCAAAAGAACCGGAUUUCUAAUGCACAACGUCAAAUUCAUGCAAAACAGGUGCAUAAGCCUCAACGACAAAUUCAACCGAAGCCUCAACCGAAGAAACCACCAACGGUUGAUCAAAAAUCUAAACAAAUGGCACCUAACGUCGACAAGUCGAGAAAACCAACGAUCCGACAAGUUUGGAUCCGGAAAGGUGAUAUCUUUCCUUGCUCCUCGUCCUAGUCAUUUUGAUCUUUAGUGUAGUGCUUUGAUUGGUGCUUGUUACAUAAUUUUAUUCAUUGCAUUACAUGUUUACAUGAUUUUUGGUGCUUGAAUUUUAUUGGUUUAUAAAUCUUUUCGAGGAAAGGUGUUUAGAAAUUCAAAAUUUUCAAGAAAAGAGAUAAUUGAGAUCCAUGAUUUUGGAGAGAGAAAUUUUUUUUUAAAAAAAAAUGUUUGAACGUUGUUUAUUUUCACAAUGAUAAUUAAGUUAAAUUCAUAUUAAUUAUCGGUUUUACUCCACUUUUUAUUAUUUUGACGAUAAUUUAAUAUAUGAUUUCUUAAUGCAUAAAUUCAUCAAAACUUUGAAAUCAAAUUUGAUUUUUUGGUGAUUAAUUCAUCGUGGUUGUGAGUGUUGGAUAUGAUGAAUGGAUAUUCUCUAAUUGACUAAAAUUCGUCAAAAUUAUUUUCAACUGUGAGAUUGUCUAAUUUAGGGGGAGUUUGAAAUUGUUUAAAAAUAAAAAAAAAGGAGAAAAAGAAACUCCUAUGUUUAAAAGAUGUGGAAAGAGUUACAUCCUAAAAGGAGUGUGAAAACUACCACCACAUGUAGGAAAGAGUUACCACCCCGGUCGACCGGUAAGUGUGUGAAGCUCCCACAUGGAAUUUAAAUGAAAAUGCCAAAAAAGGUUGAAAAAAUAAUAAUUUUAGAAUUUUCGGAGUAAUAAGGUGCUAGUUUGAAAAAGAUGCUCAAAGAGCCACCCCCGGUACCAUAUUAGUUAAAUCUCUAUUUUGAAUGUGUUGCGACAAAUUGGUGUUAAUUUUGUUGAAUUUCUAAAAAUCAUUUUUCAUCAACUUACAUCUUGAUGGUUUUGAAUCAUUAAAUUAUUUUUGAUAUUGAAAUUUUGAUGUUUAGAUGUGUUUCGAAAUUUUAUAAUAUCUUAUUUUCAUUAUAAUAAUUUUUGGAGUAAAAGCCUUAAAUUAUUUGAAAUUAAUUUAAUUUGAUGGAUUUUUAAAGCAAAUUUUUCGAAAUCUGAGAUAUUUUGUCAAGCUUAGUCUUUCUCUUUCACUGCAUUUGCUCUUUAGGAUGAUGUUUUAGAUUUGCUUGCUUAUCUUUCUGUAGUAUGUUUUUACUUUUGUUUUAGGCCUGUAACUAUGACUAGACUACUCUCAUAUUUUUCUAGUAUGUUUUCUCUUUCUAUUUGCUUUCUUUUGGCAAUUUUUGACAAAAAAGGGGAGAGCGUAGAUGAAGGGGGAGAGCAUGGAUGAACAGACAUUGAACUGAAGCAAAGGAUGAUGAGUCGGGAGAUGUGAACAAAGGGGGCUAAUCAUUUUUGAAUGAAUUAUUUUGUAGGAAAUCAAGACUUCAAGACUCCUAGUUGCGUCUAAGUCAUAGAGUCUGUUUUAGGAGUUUUGAUGUAAUUUUGAGUUUCAAAUUGUAUUUGGAUUACACGCGAGGGGUUCAAUGUUUUGGUGAUGACAUUGAACUUCGUUUUUUCUUUAAAUUGUAAUUUGUGAGUUUAUGUGUGUUUUGUCACGAAAUUGCCAAAGGGGGAGAUUGUUAGGUCCUAUGUGUUGGCAAGUUUCGUGGGUCGAGUCGGAGUCUUGAAGAAGUCCGGAGCGGAGUAUUAAAGAUCGAAUAAUCCAAGAUUUCGAAGAAUCGGAAAGGACGCAAAACACGUAAAACAUGAAUCACGAUGCUUAAGUAAGCUUUAAAUCUUGUUUAUGGUGAUUCAUACUUAAUUAUAGAUUUUAGAAUCAUGUUUUUAAGUUGUAAUUGAUUAGAAAGUUUCUAAGAGCUUGUAAAACUCGAAACAAUGCAUUUUCAGCGAAAAUUGCAUUGUUGUACCGGUACAAGAGUUUUCUGUCCAGGGUACAGCCAUCAGCGUUUGCGCAGAAAAGUUUGAUGGUUGUUCCGGUACAACCAUCACGGCUGUCCAGGGUACAAGCCCUGUUCCGGUACAAGAUGCAUCUGUCCAGGGUACAGAAGCUUCGCAGAAAAAUCUUCCGUCAUGCUGUACCCUGGACAGCUUUCCUUGUUCCGGUACAAGGUGCUGAUUUUGGAAAGAAACUUUCUAAUCCUACUCUGUUUUGAUUCUAAUGUCUAUAAAUAAGCUAUAGGGGUUCUCUAAUGAUUAAGCAUCAUAAGAAUACAUGCUUGAGAAACCCUAGAGGCUCGGAUUUCAUUCUAAACUAUUUUCUACAAAUUAGCCUCUUUAGAUCAAAUCGAGAUAUCGUUUCGCAUUCUCUAUAUGUCGAUUUGAUCUACGCUUCGUUUGGAGUUCUAUUCCCUGGUUUUCUACGAUACUCCUAAGCGAAGGAUCACAUAAUCAUGAUGCUCUUCUCAUGAACGGCGUCGUGGAUUCGGCGUGAACAAAGGUGCGUUCGUGGAUUCGGAUCGUGGGCUCGUGGAUUCGAGUGGCGUCGUGGAUUCGGCGUGAUUGAAGCUUCGUGGAUUCGAAGUGGAGGCGUUCGUGGACUCGAACGUGAGGGCGUGGACAACCCGGAGGGUAGCGCGAAGAUUCAUAGGAGGUUAAGAGAGGUUGAGUCCGUGGAGUCGGUAAUCACCUUGUAAUCUUUUCUCUUAGUGAAUUAUUUUUUUCGCGUGUUGGUCCCAUGGGUUUUUCUCUAAGUUGGAGUUUUCCCACGUAAAUCUCGGUGUGCUUUUUAUUUUCCGCAUUUAUUUUUAUUGCAUCGAGAUUUGUGGUUUUUGGCCUUUCACCUAUUCACCCCCCUCUAGGUGAUAGAUACAAUCUAGAUAGAUCCUUGGGCUCCUCAAAACUUUCAACCACAUAGCCCAAGAAUGUGACUUCCCUUAGCCAAAAGUCACAUUUCUUCAACUUCGCAUAGAGCUUCUCCUGUCUGAGUAUUUGCAACACAGCUCUCAGAUGCUCUUCAUGCUCCUCCUCACUUUUCGAGUAAACCAACACGUCGUCUAUAAACACCACGACGCAUCGAUCCAACAACGUCCUGAAGACUCGAUUCAUCAAGUCCAUAAAUGCUACCGGGACAUUAGUAAGCCCAAACGGCAUUACCGUGAACUCGUAAUGGCCAUACCGCGUAUGGUACGCCAUUUUGUGCACAUCCUUCGGCCUAAUCUUUAAUUGAUGAUACCCCGAUUGGAGAUCAAUUUUCGAAUACACCUUGGACCCUUGCAACUGAUCGAAUAAAUCGUCAAUUCUCGGCAACGGGUACUUAUUUUUUAUCGUUACCUUGUUCAACUCACGAUAGUCCACGUAGAGUCGAAGUGUGCCGUCUUUCUUCUUCACGAAUAGCACCGGAGCUCCCCACGGAGACACGCUCGGCUUCAAGAAGCCUUUAUCGAACAAGUCUUGUAACUGUCCUUUUAGCUCUACCAACUCCACCGGUGCCAUUCUAUACAGAUCCUUCGAAACUGGCGUCGCCCCGGGAAUUAAGUCAAUCACGAACUCAACUUCCUGGUCCGGUGGCAAUCCUGGUAACUCCGCCGGAAAUAUAUCCGGAAACUCGCACGCAAUCCGGAUACUUCCAAGGUCUGGGUGCUCCCCACGGCCAUCAACCAUGGUUGCCAAAUAGGCCUUACAUCCUCCUUUGAUCAUUCUCUUGGCCCUCACUGACGAUAUAGUCGUCGCGAAACGCGCACCUUUGCACGCCCGGUACACGAAUUCUUCUUGGUUAGGAUCACGAAAAGUGAUAACCUUACUUUCACAAUCUAUGACCGCAUAGUAUUUGGAGAGCCAAUUGGUCCCCAAAAUAACAUCAAAGCCCCACAUCCGGUCUAGCACCAGUAGGUCUAUUGGCAUGAUCCAGUCGCCAACCUGCACCGGAACCUCCAAGCACUCAUCAUAAACGCGAAACGAGUGCCUGGGACCAUUCACCCACCAGUAAUCAUUAUUAUGCAUCAUUUCUAUGCCAUGUGCCUUUGCAAACUUUGAGCCUACAAAUGAUCGUGAUGCACUAGUAUCGAACAAUGCUCUAGCUCUAGUGCCAUUAAUCAUAAUUAUACCUGCCACGACAUCGUCGGGUGCUGCAGGCUGUUGCUCCUCCUCCACCUGAGCGGCGAAAACUCGGCCGCUAGGCGCUCUCGAUCCCUCCGGCUGACGCGGUGAUGACGCGCGCCCAGCCGACAUUGCCGGUGGCAACCCCGCAAGUUGUCUCGGGGUCGACGGUGAUGACGCCGCCGUCGGCGCAGAAGACGUCCAUGUCAGGCACUCCUGGAUACGAUGUCCCGGUUGGCCACACGUGAAACAUUUGCCAUCGCUCUGCGGACAAGCUGACACCUUAUGCUCUCCGCCACAAAUGACACAUCGAGGUGGUCUCCAACUCCUCGACUGCUGUCGGGGAUACCGAGGGGGUUUCUUCACACUUGGCCGGCCCCCGGCACUACCCGCCGUUCGCUUUUUGCCCUUAUCCUUUGACUCGGCUAGGGCCUCCCGUUCCUCACAUACAUGGGCGCUACCGUGCUCCGCCCACAACGCUCUAUCGAAGACCUCCGCAAAGGUCGACAACUUCAGGAUUUGCACCUUCUCAUAAAUUCGGGGCUGGAGUCCUCGCAAGAACCAAUCCGCCCGGUCCUGAUCAUCACGAACAACGUCGGGAACGCAGUCAAUAAUGUAGGAGAAUUCUUGCUCGUACUCCCCCACCGAUCGAUCACCUUGUCUCAGCUUGCGGAACUUUUCUUGCAACCUCCGCUUUACCGUGUUGGGGAAGUAGUUCACGAACACUGCCCUCUUGAACUCUUCCCAUAGCAUAAGCGGAAGAUCGGUAGGACGAUCCCGCUUCACUCGCUUCCACCACACCUUCGCCGCUUUCUCAAGGCAAUGGGUGGCGAGAUACACCUUAUCCUUCUCCGAGGUAUUAAGGUCCUCGAAUAGGGUCUCCAUCGAGUCGAUCCACGACUCCACAACCGCCGGCUCCACCAUUCCACCCUCAAAGGUAGGAGGGUUGAACUUCUGGAACUGGACAAGCACCGCCAACAUGCGCUCUCACUCCGCAUCGACUGCCGCACCAUCAGGAUUCGAGGUUCCCGAUCCGGCCGGCACCGCCGUGACUGGUACAGCCGCAACUGGCUCCGCCGCUCCCUCAACAACACUCGGCACUACCACAGGGAGUGCAGCAUGCUCGACACCCGCCUAGGCCGCCGCUGCUUGUUGACGCUCCAAGGUCUCCUGGAGCCGCCGAAUCUGCUCCCCUUGGCUACGAACAGACUCCGCCUGUUGCCGCACUACUCCAAUGAGCGCGGCCAUUUGCUCCCUAAGGUCUCCGUCGCCACUCGCUCCGGGUCGCUCGGACUCCACACUCGGCUCCUCGGGCAUCGACCUUGUUCGAGGCCCACGACGAGCCAUUACUUCCUGAAAUGGAGCAACACAUGUUAACUACUUGACCAUACCCAACCUGGCGAAAGCAAACAUGCACAUUCAUCCUUACCCCGAGCGACAUGUCGUUGGCCGCCCGACACAACACGAGAAGUAACGAACGAAUGAUAAUUAAACUUAGCCUCUAAUCACAUUAGAGACGUCCCAACUUAACCCAAUCACAGGCUUUCGCUAACUUUGAUUCCACGUCACUCACGUUUCCUAGAUCCUUAAGGUCUUCCAAUCCUAAGGGUCUCUAGGUCCAUUCCUAUUCUUUCACUCUUGGCUCUGAUACCACAAUAUCUGUCACGCCCCGCUACCGACACCAAUUUGGGCCGGUUCGAGCACGUCAAACAGACACCGAACGGACAGAGUUUUUCCUAUCCGCCCAUGGCUCAUCACAUGUACAUUUUCAAAUAAGAAGUGCACUAGCGGAAACAUACAAACACAGCUUACACGAGGGUAAGCAAUAGCCAUGAGUGAAGAGAUAGGAAAGCUAUGUAACUACACAAGUACUAUGAUUCAUUUUGAUCACAUACAUGUAUUCAUUUACAUUCAUGAUUGUUUGCAUUUCAUUACAUUACAUCGUUUGCAUCAUUUCUUUUACAUCACAUUUACCACAAAAUGGGCUUUACAUUCUUUUCUUUACAUCACUAGUCAUCAAAUACAAAAUAUGAACAUAGGGUACUCUACUAACAAAAUAUAAACCAAGCUCAACUCUGGUGGCCUCUGUCUAAGGCGCGAUACCUUUACCUCGGUCGCUCGCUGGCUCGCUCGAUCCCGGCUCUGUGGAAGUAGUGGGGUGAGAACUACAACAAAGUUUCCAGUGGGUUCGGCCCCAACAUCACCGACUUUUCCACUAGGACUAACUCAGGCAUAAUAGAAAGGAUAAGCAGAAUAGUAACCAAACUAUAGUCAUGAUGCUAAUAUGCCUGAACAAUAAAGAAAGGAAUAUGCUCAACAUAAAUUAUGCAAAUUAUGCAAGUUCUUUAUUCUUUUACUCUUUGUUCUUUUGUUCUUUAAUCUCACGGCUAACCCGGGGGUUUCGCCACAUUAACUUGCCCACAUUAAGUCCAUCAUCGCGGGCCCUCAGCUUCCUCCCGCUAAGACCGUCCUCGGGUUUACUCCAACCCGUGAUGCAAAAACUCCGGAGCGCAUUGCUCGAGGGGGUGCAACCACCCUCAAGCACGGAACUCAUAGCAAGUAUGAUCGAUUCCUUAACUCUAAGGAUUAUAAGUUCAAUCAUGUCGUUACACUAACUCUAGUGUCCUUUACAUCACUUUACGUUGCUAACUCUAGCAAUCGUUGUUCUUUGCUCUUUACAUGUUCUUUUUGCCCCACUUUGCAUUAUUCUUUCAUUCUUUAUUCUUGAUGCCACACUUUGUAUUAACUUUAGCCAUUGUCAUUACCUUCGCAUCACAUUGAUUCUUUGCCCCACACUAACUCUAGUGUUCUUUACUUUACAUUAUCAAAUGCCACUCGAUCUAUGUCAUAGUGUGUCACUCUGUUCUUUUGCCUCACUUGAGUGCUUACAUUUCCUCUCAUGCAUACAUAUAGGGUUUCACAUUUGUAUAGGUUCUCAACCAUCAUUAAGCAAGAUGUACUCACAAUCAUGCCAAAUCACAUUCUUUUCAUUGCUUUACCCUAAAUGCAUGCAACAAUAUAUGUAACAUAUGCUCAAUUGAAUGACGCAUUAGGUAUAGAAGGAAGUCCAAUGAGUUUGGAUAGCACCACCUGUAACACACUAGACCUCUGCAAAUUGCGAGGUUCGAGUGCUUGGAUGUAUUUCGAGCUUUUCCACACUUGAUGGAGGGUUGUAGAAUGUUUUCCGACCUAAAAAGUUCGAAAACUGGAAUUCUGGACAAGUCCUGAAAGUUUUUACUCUCGGGGACCGGUCCCUAGAAGGAGAGACUGGUCCCCCAGUGAGCAGUGUUGCGGCAGCCCUGAGGCAACCGGUCCCUGGCGGGCGAGACCAGUCCCCGAGCUCACCUUCGCAGUGAGAGACCGGUCCCGCGCAGGAGGAGACCGGUUCCCGAACGUUGGUUUUCCGGGUUCGCAGCGAGAGACCGGUCCCUGCUGGGGAGAGACCGGUCCCUCUGGGCGAAAACUGCCCAGACCGGGCUGUUGUAAUUUUGGAUUUUUGGGGGACCUAGCUGGAUUUUGUUACAAUAGAGGGCCUAUAUGACCCAUCCACUCUCUCCUCUCCUCAUUUCUCUUCUCUCAACUCUCUCUACACCCUUGAUAGAGAAGAAGAAGAAGAAGGAGAAGGAGAAGAAGGAAGGAAGAAGAAGAAGUUUGAGAGCUACUAGUGGACUUGGAGCAUCUUCCUCACCCUCUCUUCUUCCUUGGUGCUUGGAGGUUGAACUUGGAGCUUGUCAAAGAGGAGAGAUCUUCACCCUUGCACUACAAGAAGAAGAUUUAUAAGUGACAGUAAAACAUUGUCACUAAAAAUAAAAAAUUUGUCACUAAUAGUUUUAGUGACGAUAAAUACGGUCACUAUAAGUUGUCACGAUAGGUCCCGUGGCAAAUAGAUUUUGUGACGGAAAAAAAAAUAUUGUCACUAAAAAUAGUAUUUAUGACAAGACAAUUUUGUCACUAAAUAUUACCUAUUUGUCACCAAUAAUAUUUACGAAAUGGUUGAACAUUAAAAAUAGUAAUCUUAGGUGACAACGUAUGUCGUCACUAACAGUUAGUGACAUCACUAUCCGUCACUAAAUAUUGCAUUUAUGACAAUGAUUAUUCACUACACACUAAUAUUUAGUGAUAAUAAAGUUUGUCACAGAAUAUUACAUUUAUAACAAUCAUAUUCAUCACCGAUAUAUUUGUCACUACAUUAUCGGUCAUAAAAUCAACUAGUUUCAAACAACCAACUGAAAUUUCUAAUAAAAGCAAAUCAACAAGAUUUUAAAAUUCUAAUAACGAAAAUGCAUUAAUAUUCUCACAUUCAUCAUACAAAAUACCUCCCAUUAUCUCCAAUUUUUUAAGUACAUGACAAAGAGUUUUCAAAUUCAAACUAAAUGAUUCAAUCUAAAAUAAGUACAUUUGAUUAUAUGGUCCACAUCCAAAAUAAAGGAUUGUCGAAUACUAAUACUAUGUAGGAAUUGCACCACUCAUCUUUACCUGCAAUGAAUUAAAAACAAAUAUAAUUAGACAAAAUUGAAAUCUAAAAGAAAGAUAAAAUAAAAAAAAUAUUGAUGUUAAGGAUAAGUAUGAUCCAAGUGGAGCUCCAUUCGUUUUCUCAACGUAUGCUCUUUCCUCAUCUUGUAAUGAUUUCUAAUUUAAUUUAACAAAAUAAAACUAGAAACUAACUGAAAAAUAAAGCUAGAAACUAAUUAACUAACACAAAUCUAAACCCAAAGUCAAACAGCACUGAAGACCACUAAUUAAUUUACACGAGCUAGCUAGCCAUAAUUUUUGAAUUAAAUUGCCUUCAAUUAAAAAACCAUAGAAAUAGAAAAGAGAAAUGCUGAUACAUCAAAACCAAGCACAAAAUUCAAAAAUAAAAGCAACAGCAGGUCCGCAACAACAAUGAAUCCUUUAGUCACAGCUAAUGGCAACUAACAGAAUAUGGUUUCUCAAAAUGAAAGGACAUGUAAUCUACAUUUGGAGAGAUUUUAUAUAUUUAAAUACUGCUUUCUAAUUAAUAAUAGCUGAUAUAAGUCAAAGAGCAUGUCAUCAAAACUAAAUAAGGAGAUGAGAGAAGCAGCACUGAUUUUUGCAAGCUGCAACACAACCUAGAACUGCGUAUGCAAUUUCCUCUGCCUAAUCGAUGAAAAAGAUUGGAGAAUGUUGAAGAUACAGCAUAUGAUAAGAUACUUUCUGUCACAGCCCGCGACCACCCGCCUAUUUGGCCGAGGUCCCGGCGCCGCCGACAUCGCCGAAUGGACAGGGUUUCCCCUGUACUACCGACAGAGUCUCCCCUGUACAUUCAAGGCAUCGCAAUCAAUACAAUUCACGAAGGUUCCAACCAGGAACAGAUAUCAAUCAAGAUUGCAAGUGGAAGGUAUCAUACAACAUAAACACAUCCUAAGUUAUUACAUUCAUUCACUUUCAUAGUUUUUACAUCACAGUUNNNNNNNNNNNNNNNNNNNNNNNNNNNNNNNNNNNNNNNNNNNNNNNNNNNNNNNNNNNNNNNNNNNNNNNNNNNNNNNNNNNNNNNNNNNNNNNNNNNNAAGAGAGAGAAUUCUUGUUCUUCUCUUCUAACUCUCUGUGAUGAAUCCGUUAAAUGACAUGCCAGAUUAGGCCAUAUAGGUCAAGAGAAUAGACUGGCUCGAGAAGGCCUUUUGGGGUCUCUCGCCAAAGUUGACCUAUCUGUGUGUGAGCCUUGUCUGGCUGGAAAGGCAUGUAGAAAGCCUUUCGGUAAGGCUACUCGUGCCUCUCAUCCUUUAGAGCUAAUCCACUCAGACAUUUGUGGGCCAAUGAAUGUGAGGGCCCGGCAUGGUGCUUGCUAUUUUCUCACAUUCAUUGAUGAUUAUUCCCGUUAUGGAUAUGUGUAUUUGCUUUCUCGCCGAUCUGAAACUUUAGAUUGCUUCAAGCGCUUCGUUGCGAAGGCUGAGAAUCAAAUAGAAAGAAGUGUAAAGAUGCUUCGCACUGACUGAGGUCGUGAGUACUUGUCUGAUCAGUUCAAGACUUAUUAUGAACAAAAGGGCAUUAAUAGACAGCUCACUAUUCCUGGUACUCCGCAACAAAAUGGUGUUGCAGAGCGAAGGAACCGUACUCUAUUAGACAUGGUUAGGUCGAUGAUGGCGCAAGCGCAAUUUUCCAUAAAUUUUUUGGGAGAUGCUCUUUUGACUGCAGCCUACAUCCUUAAUCGAGUCCCUAGCAAAUCAGUGCCAUCUACCCCAUAUGAGUUGUGGAGAGGUAGAAAACCAAGUUUACACUACUUACGCCCUUGGGGUUCAGCUGGAUAUGUUCACAGCCUCUAACAUAGAUUCGGGAAACUCGGCCCUAGAGCGAGCAAGCAUGUGUUUAUCAGAUACCCUGAAAAUUCGAAGGGCUAUGUGAUGUAUGGUGAACACCCAGAUGGUGGUAUGACCGAGAUUGAGUCUCGUGAUGUGGAAUUCCUAAAAGGGGAUUUUCCAAGCAUUCGUGAAAUGCGAAGAGACGUCGGAUUGUAUGAGUUAUAGGACGACGCUACCCCAUCUGCGGUUGAGGGUAAUCGAUCACUUCCCGAAGUCGCUGAAGGAAGUGGUAGCGAUCCUCCGGCUAGUGGGAGUGCUUCUUUGAGUGAGAGCAUACCCUUGGAAGUCGGCAGAUUAGACCCUCCAUUACACCGAAGUGAACGUGGACAUAUUCCUCGUCGACAUUUUGAGAUCGAAGAGGAUAUUUUCAUGUGUACUCCGCUUAAUGAUGAUGAACCUGCUUCUUAUAAAGAAGUAUUACAUACAUCAGCUUGCAGUGAGUGGAUGGCUGCUAUGAAAGAUGAGAUGGACUCCAUGAGCAAGAACCAAGUAUGGGAAUUGGUUGACCUUCCGCCUGGGCGCAAAUCUAUUGGAAAUAAAUGGGUUUUAAAAAUUAAGCGCAAGGCGGAUGGAUCAAUCGAUAAAUACAAGGCUCGGCUCGUGGCUAAGGGCUACACUCAGAGGCAUGGGGUAGAUUACAACGAGACGUUUGCUCCUGUUGUGCGAUUUGCCUCUAUUCGUUUGAUUCUAGCCUUAGUGGCACACCUAGAUUUGGAAUUGUUCCAAAAUGGAUGUCAAGAAAGCUUUUCUCAAUGGAGAAUUGGCGGAGGAGAUCUAUAUGGAUCAACCUGAGGGUUUUGUACUCAAAGGUCAUGAAAACAAAGUUUGUCGUCUUAAAAAAUUCAUUUACAAUCUCAAGCAGUCGUCGAGACAGUGGUAUUUCAGGUUUCAUAAAGCCAUCACCUCUAUCGGUAUGUCCAUGAUAGAGGAGAACCACUAUGUAUAUGUCAAGAAGACAGAGAAUGGUAUUUUCUUUCUCUCUCUAUACGUCGACGAUAUACUAUUGGCUGGAAAUGACAUGGAGUUAAUCAAUACCACUAAGGAGUGGUUUGUUAAGGAUUUUAUAGGUUGGCGAAUUUCGUAAAGUUGUUUGGAGUCUUGAAGAGUUGAUCGCAGAAGUUAUUCAAAUUGGAGAACGAAGACUCAUUCGGAAAGCUCGACACCUAAGGUAUGAAGAAAAGAUCAUUUGUGGUGAAGAUACCUAAUUAGAAUAAGUUCAGAAGGCUUAGAUUGCUUUAAAAUAAUUUUUCUGAACUUUCAUGUGUUCUGGGACUGAUCCCUGAAGUGGAGAGACCGGUUCCCCUAAGGUCCUCACUGCGUGAGUUCUGAUGCAACCGGUCCCCUGAGAUGAGAGACCGGUUCCCGAACCUUGGUUGUUCUGUCGCGCAGCGAGGGACCGGUCUCAAGCUUGAGAGACCGGUUCCCGAACGCUGAGUUUUUGAACACGCAGAGAGGGACCGGUUCCUCACUUGAGAGACCGGUCUCUCACAGACCGGUCUCCUCGAGAAGACCGGUCUCUGAGGACGACACAGGUUUUUAAAAAUGACUUUUUGCAAUCCUAGUCUACUUCUAAGUCUUCUAAACAUAUAAAUAAGCUAUGUGGGUCAUCUAAAAAUUAAGGCUUUGAAUAUUUACCAAUUCUAAACCCUAGAAACGUAUUUCUCUCCGUUUCAAUGCUUAGAUUUACAUGAUGAGUUUCUAGCAAUCAACAUCGGCUUGAUUCUUCGUUGUUACUCAAUAAUUCUUACGAGAAUCAAGUAAAUGUUUGAUAAAAGGUGAACUCCCAUAGCUUAUGAUUUUUAAAAGUUAAAUCACCACAAAUCUUCGAUUCUACAAGCUCCGGAAGGAGGUUCGGCGCGUGGAUCUCGCGUGAGGCCGAGGAUUCGGUGGACGCUUCGAGGAGUUGAGGCGUUGACGCUGCGUGGAGUUGCAGCAAGGUCGAUUGGUGGAUUUCUAUCGAUCGAGGACCGGCAAAGAUCACCGUCAACAAGAAAUCGGUAAAUUGAGUCGUGUAAUUUCGUCGAAAUCACUUGUACUCGAGUUUUCUUAGUGGAUUUUCUUUGCAUGAUCGGUCCCGUGGGUUUUUCACUCCGAUUUGGAGUUUUCCCACGUUAAAUUCUCGGUGUGCUAUUUUAAUUUUCGCUACUUUGUUUUGUUUGCAUCGGGUUUUUCGAGUUUGCCGGAUUUACACCUAUUCAUCCCCCCUCUAGGUGUUACUUAUCUUUUAGAUCUUUGGAAUCCAUAUCUCACAAGUGGUAUCAGAGCGGGUAUAGGUUGUAAUACAUGGCUGAGGGCGGUAACAUCAAUCGACCCCCGCUCUUCGAUGGCACUAACUACGCCUAUUGGAAAGUCCGUAUGAGGGCGUUCCUUAUUGCUAUUGACGAGCGGGUUUAGCAAGCCAUUGAAUUCGGAUGGAAAAAUCCUACCGAAGUAGUCGAGAAUGUUACUGUGCCGAAACCUAGAAAUAAAUGGACGAAAGAGGAAAAUGAACUAUUUUCGUUCAACGGGAAAGGUAUCAAUGCUUUAUUCAAUGCUUUAAAUCAAACUGAAUUUUCUCGCGUCUCGGCGUGUGAAACCGCCAAAGAGAUUUGGGACACUUUGCGAGUUACACACGAGGGUACAAGCUUGGUUAAGAUUCAAAAAUUGCAAAUGCUUACUAGUAGAUUUGAUUCCAUCCAUAUGGAAGAACAUGAAUCUUUUACCGAGUACUAUACUCGUUUGCAAGACAUUGUAAACACGUGUGCUAACUUGGGCGAGAAAAUUCCAGAUUCCAAAAUUGUUCGAAAAAUUUUGAGAACCCUUCCCGAACGAUUCCGUCCUAAGGUUGCGGCUAUUGAAACGGUCAAACAUCCUGAUGAACUCAAAGUAGAAGAAUUAGUAGGUGCUCUUCAAACUUAUGAAAUGACUUUUUCUUCUAAUUCGUCUUCUUCCAAGUCUUUUUCUAAAGCUUCAGGGAUGGCUCUAAAAUCAACAAAAGGAGAUGUCACUUCAACCUCAUCAGAUUCAGAGUCGGAGCAAAGCUUGGAGGACUUUGAGAAACAACUCGCACUUCUAACAAAGAAGUUUCGUCGAAACUUUAGAAAGAAGUUUCCUUCCAAGUCUACUUCAUCCAAGACAAACAAAUCUAAAGGAGGUUCGUCUUCUUCUUCCUCAACAAAAUACAGGAAAUCUGAUAACUCUCAAAAGGACUCCACAAAAGAGAAGAAAAGUGGUGAAGGUCAAAUUCAAUGCUACAAGUGUAGGGGCUUUGGCCAUAUAGCAUCUAACUGUCCUAAUAAAAAGUCGUUGAAGAAGAAAGCUAUGCAAGCUAUGACUUGGGACGACUCCUCAUCUGACGAUUCCACUUCGAGUGAAGAUGAUGUAAAUGCCACGGCACUGUUUGCACAGGAUUCAACUUUCAUGUGUUUAGCAUCUGCUGACUCGAUUUCUACGACAUCUAUACAAGAGAAGUCAUCUUCGGAGAACUCAUCGGAUGAAGAAUCGGACGAAGAUGACAUGGUCGCAGCAUAUCAACAAUUGGUUGUUGAAUCAAAGAAGAUGGCUAAACACAACAAGAGACUGCGGCGAAGUCUGCAUGAGUUGGAACAAGAAAAUUCAAAAUUGGUCUCAUUAACAAAGGAUCUAGAGCAAGAAAGAGAUGGGUUGACCAAGGCUUACAACUCUUUGCUUGAGAAGUGUUCGUUACUUGAAAAAGAAAAGGAGACUCAAGUGGAGAACAUCAAUUUUCUUACCAAGCAAAACUCAGAAGCUAGAGAAGCAAAUAUGGAAUUCACCAAGACGAUCAUUCAACUGAAGUCGGAUUUGAACCAAUUUUCAUCUGGCUCGAGCAAACUAGACAAGAUGCUUGGACUUGGUCAAACAAAUAAACUUGGACUUGGUUAUGAACGGACAUAUAUUGAUCAAGUUACGAAGAAGGAUGAUGGAAACUCGUCAACUGCUGUACCUAAACUUUAUGGUAAGUUUGUCUCUCCUAAAAACAAUUUGACUAACAAAGCUUGUCAUAUAUGUGGUGUUUUAGGACACAUAAAGAAAUUCUGCUACCAAAAGGGAAAGAGCUCAAUAGCACCUUUGAAGAGUGAUCCUAAAACGACAACGAAGUCAACUGUGAUUCCAAGGAAGAUAGAACAUAAGAAGAGACAAACUUGGACACCAAAUACUCCGAAGCCAAAGGCAAAACAAGCGUGGAAACCAAAGAAGGAGGAUAUGAAGAGGAAGUCAAUUCAAAUCGUCGACAAGCCACGAUCAACAAAAGCAAGCGAACUGACACAGCCCAAAACACGUAAGGUUUGGGUGCGCAAAGGUGAACUCUUCCCAUGCCUAGUUAUUCACACUUCGCUUCAUGCUUACGAUAACUCAUCAUGGUAUCUGGAUAGUGGUUGUUCCGUCAUAUGACCGGAGACAAAAAUUGGUUUACUUCUUUGACCAAAAUCUCCGGAGGACUUGUUGUUUUUGGGGACGGUCGAUCGUCAAAAAUUGUUGGCAAAGGAACAGUGACUAUUUCAGAUGGCCCUACGUUGAACAAUGUUUUUUAUGUUGAGGGGCUCAAAUCUAAUCUCGUAAGCAUAAGCCAACUGUGUAAUGAUGGGUAUUCUGUGAAUUUUUCUGAUAAAGAAUGCCAUGUGAUUCGUGAUGAUAAUCUGUUUUUAAAGGGCAUUAGAUCUCAGAAUAAUUAUUAUGUAGUUCCUAGUUCGUCCACUGAACAUUGUAACCUAGUUUCAUUAGAAACUGAAACCUUAUGGCAUGAACGACUAGGUCACAUAAACUUUAAGGAGCUGUCAAAGAUAACCAAGAAGGAGGUAGUUUGAGGUGUACCUAAGAUUGAUUUUAAGGAGAACACUGUGUGUGGGGGUUGCCAAUUGGGGAAACAAACUAGAUCCACACAUAAGAACUUAAAUCACUUAGGGACUACUAAGCCCUUAGAGUUACUGCACAUGGACUUGAUGGGACCAUCUAGGAUUCAAAGUUUGGGUGGAAAACGUUAUAUCUUGCUUAUUGUUGAUGAUUUUACUCGCUUUGUUUGGAGGGCCUUCUUACGAGAAAAAGCUGAUACUUUUAAUUCUUUUUCUGAAAUCUGUCUACGUCUUAUGACUGAACGAAAUGAUAAAAUUGUACGCAUUCGAAGCGAUCAAGGGGGAGAGUUCAUAAAUUCCAAAUUUGUUGAUUUCUGUGUUUCAAAUGGUAUAAAACAUGAAUUCUCGACCCCUUAUACACCCCAACAAAACGGAGUGGUUGAACGUAAGAAUCGGGUUGUACAGGAGAUGGCUCGUGUUAUGCUUCAUAGUAAGAAAAUUGCUUUACAUUUUUGGGCCGAAGCAAUUAACACAGCUGUCUAUGUUAUCAAUCGGAUUUAUGUGUGUCCAGGCACCUUGAAUACGCCUUAUGAACUUUGGCUUGGUAGAAAACCUAACAUUAAAUACUUUCGUGUCUUCGGGAGUAAAUGUUUUAUCCUUCGGGAUCGUGAAAAUCUUGAAAAAUUUGACUCUCGCAGUGACGAAGGCAUAUUUCUUGGUUAUUCUACUACAAGUCGUGCUUAUCGUGCGUACAAUUUACGAUCUAAGACGGUGAUAGAGUCUAUCAAUAUAAAAGUAGAUGAAGCUUCUUCUGUAAGUUCUUCUGUGAAUGGUUCUUCCAACUCUCUGAUGAAUGACGAUGAUAAUGAUUCUCCGUUUGUAAUGCCUGUGAAUGAUGAUAUUUCUACACCUGAUAAUUCCAUUGCAUCUUCUGAAAAUAUCGCAUCAAAUGAUUCAUCUGAGCCACAAAACAUCACGGCUGAAAUCCCGAGUACAGAGACUACCCCCCUGACAGAGUCAAGAGAUCAUCCUUUGUCAAAUGUGAUUGGGGAUCCUAAUGUUGGUGUGCGAACAAGAAGUCAGUUACAAUGUGAAUUUGCAUGUUAUGUUUCUUUGAUCGAGCCAAAGAAUGUCGACGAAGCUCUUGUUGAUGAAUAUUGGAUAAAUGCCAUGCAAGAAGAACUUGGUCAAUUUGUUCGCAAUGAUGUAUGGGAAUUGGUGCCUCGUCCUGAGCAACAACACAUUAUUGGUACCAAAUAGAUCUUUAAAAAUAAGAAAAAUGAAGAUGGUACUAUUGUGCGGAACAAAGCUAGACUUGUGGCUCAGGGGUACUCUCAAAUUGAGGGGAUAGACUUUGAAGAAACUUUUGCUCCGGUUGUCCGUCUUGAAUCUAUUCGUAUCUUGUUCGCGAUUGCUUGCCAUUUUAAAAUCACGCUCUUUCAAAUGGAUGUCAAAAGUGCGUUUUUAAAUGGAUUUUUAAAAGAGGAAGUUUAUGUUGAACAACCGAAAGGUUUUAUAGACUCAAAAUUUCCAAAUCACGUUUUUCGACUGAAAAAGGCACUUUAUGGACUAAAACAAGCUCCGCGAGCAUGGUACGAACGCUUAACAAAAUAUCUUUUGGAAAAGGGCUAUAACCGAGGGGGAGCAGAUAGAACUCUUUUUGUGAAACACCUGAAGGAUAAUUUCAUUGUAGCAGAAAUAUAUGUGGAUGACAUAGUUUUUGGGGCUACUAAAGAUAAGGAUGCCGCUGAUUUUGCAAAGUUAAUGACCAGUGAGUUUGAGAUGUCAAUGAUGGGGGAGCUUAAUUAUUUCCUCGGGCUUCAAGUCAAACAAUCAAAAGAUGGAAUUCAUUUGUCACAGACAAAGUAUGCGAAGGAACUAGUUAAGAAAUUUGGAUUAGAAAGUGCAAAGGAUUUUGACACUCCAAUGGGUACAAGCAACAAAGGACUGGGAUUGAAUUCAGAAGGUCAGAGUGUGGAUGAGAAACAAUACAGGAGCAUGAUUGGUAGCUUAUUGUACUUGACUGCGAGCAGACCAGAUAUUGCGUUUAGUGUUGGAAUUUGUGCUCGUUAUCAGGCUAACCCUAAGGAAGUACAUCUGAAAGCAGUGAAAAGAAUCAUUCGGUAUGUUAAAGGAACAACCGAGUAUGGCCUCUGGUAUCCAAUGGGAACAUCUCUUGACCUAAUCGGCUACCCGGAUGCUGACUGGGCAGGGUCCGCAGAUGAUCGAAAAAGUACUAGUGGAGCUUGUUUUUACAUUGGACAUUGUUUGGUUGCUUGGCACAGUAAGAAGCAAAAUUGUAUUGCUCUUUCCACUGCAGAAGCUGAAUACAUUGCGGCUGGAAGUUGCUCUACUCAAUUAAUUUGGAUGAAAAGCUUACUGAGCGACUAUCGGAUUCCUUCUACCACUCUAACUAUUCUGUGUGACAACACGAGUGCAAUUAAUAUUUCUAAAAACUCUGUUUUACAUUCUCGAACAAAACAUAUUGAACUAAGAUAUCAUUUUUUAAGAGAACUGGUAGAAUCAAACGUUUUACAACUUGAAUACAUUUCAACUGAAAAUCAACUUGCCGAUAUUCUAACCAAACCUUUGGAUCAAAAGCGUUUUCUGCAUUUAAGAAAGGCAAUUGGUAUGAAUCCUUCAAUCUAGAUAUAUUCUAUUGAGCCACAGACCAUGUGCAUGUUGCAUAUUUUGUUUCGUUUCUUGCAUGAUUUUCGGUGUUUGAGGGUUGAUUGAUUUUUUUGCAUGAUGUUGCUGUUUUGGGAGAUGAGUUGAUCUGUGAAUUUAAGUAUUUCAUAUUUAAUUUUUGAUUAAUCACUGUCAGAGUUAUUCUUUAUUGGCAUAUUUUUGAACGAUCAAAUCAUUGAAAUUCUAUUUAACAUAUUGAAUCAAAUUCAGCACCUCAGGCUUUGAACUUUGAAUAUUGCAAUUGUUUGUUUGAUUAUUAGUUUUGAGAUGAUUAAAUCUUUCUCUAUUUUUGAAAUUGCGAUAAUAUUUUUGACUUGAGGGUUGCACUAAUUUAGGGGGAGUCUUGCCUAUUUUAGCUAUGAAAAUUUAUGAAAUACAAGAUGUGGAAAGAGUUACAUCCCCGCUGGGAGUGUGAAAACUACCACCACAUGGAGGAAAGAGCUACCACCCCGGUCGUCCGGUCAGUGUGUGCAGCUACCACAUGAUGAUCAAUAUAUCUCUAUGAGCUAAAAGCCAAUAAAGAAUGAAUCAAUAUGAGAUGUUGUGGAGAUGGUAAAAUUCUAAUACUAUGUUUAAUACAUCUCCUAGGCGAUAUAAGGUGGUUUGUUAAAAGAUGCUCAAAGAGCCACUCUUAUCUCGAAUUAUGUGCAUAACUCAAGUUGAGAAUAUUCUUUUAAUUUCAUGAUUAUGAGAUUUAUUUAUUCAAUUUCUUAACAAAUAUGAUGAUAAAAUGAUACAAUUUAUCCCUAGAUCUUGCGUGAUGUGUGGAAUUUUAUUUGAUACUUAUCAAGAAUUUUAUUUGAUUUUCGGAUCAACAAUAUUUGCCAAAUUGAAUAUCUUUGAGAUUGUUUUUCAAAAUUUAUUUAUGAAAUUUUAUUGGAAGUCUUUGGGGAUGGAUAUUGUGUAUUUUGAUGUUGGAUAUAUUGAGGAUAUUAUAUAAAAUUUCUAAAAAUUCUGGACGAAUAUUAGAUUUUUAGGUUUUGGCUCUGGGACCGGUCCCAGACUUGGAGAGACCGGUCCCUCCACCCGAACCGAUAUAAGGGUUUUGCGGUCUGUUUCUUUUUACUUUACCAAUUUCGUUCAAACUUCUCUCCAGAGCUUCUAAUAUCCCUAGGGUGCUUUUGCUUCCAUUCUUCAUUAAUUUACACUUGAUUUUGGUAUGAUUCUCGGAUUUUAUUUCGUUGUUGUCUUAUACUCCGAAUUUAUGCUUUGUUUUCAGUUUUUUUGGGAUUUGAUCUCAUUAUGUUGUUAAAACUCUUCAUUUUUGCCCUGAUCUUACCUCUAGACAUGUUAGUCAACAUUUUCAUGCAUUAUUCCAUACUUUGAUUGUCACGCCCCGCGACCGCUACCAAUUUGGUCCGGCCCGGGCGCGUCGAACAGACGCCGAACGGACAGGACCUCCCCUGUCCGUCCAAGGCUAACCAACAGAUCGUGCAUAAGAAUUUACCCAGGAAUCAAUUCAUAAAUACACGAUCAAUAAGCACCACUAGUGCUAUAAACAAGAGCAAGAUACAAGUAUAGAAACAUAUACAAGUACAUAAGAGAGAAGAGACUAUCUAUUACAUUCAUUUGAUUUACUACAUUUAGAUACAUCUUUUACAUUCUUCCAAAAUAUAAAUACAAGCAAUCAACCCUCACCCUAUACAACAUCUACUCUCAAAUACAAAAUGGGUGACGGCUAAUGCAAGAAGAGGAGGUAGCUAAUGCGACUAGAACGCCGGGCCCUUACCGCGAUCCUCGCGCUCACCGGGGAUGCCCGAACUGGAACCUGUGGUAAAAUGGGGGUGAGAACUAACUUCCUUAGUUCCCAGUGGGUUCGGCCGCCGACUCCGCCGAUCUCCCCACUAGGUCCAAGCGGGCAUAAGUAGACAAUCGAUAGAUAGGUAGAUAGAUAAGGAAAGCUGUAAAUGGCGGAAAUGAAGCUACUCUACUAUGCCCAAUCAUAAUAUAUGAUGCAUGUACAAUGAAAUAGGUAAGCAGCUAACCAGUUAUUAUGUCCAAAGAUAAAGCUAUUCACUCGGUCGUUUUCCUCAUUUACCUGUUCAUCAAUCUCGUGGCUUACCCGAAGGCUCGCCUACAGCUCACUAGCCAUCUCGACACGUAGGGAGAAUUAACUCACACUACGGACCCGAGACCGUCUGGCGGGGCCAAAUAGGCAAUCCCUGGCGUGACCAACAUCCGGAGCGCACUACUUGUGUGGGGCUUCCAUCACAAGAUUUAAACAGACCGUGAGCAUGAUCCAAUCCUCUAAGCUCGAGGAUACCCUGUCCUCUAGAGUCACAAUCAUCAUAUAGUCCAUAGGUUUCAUAUACACUAUGACUCACAUAUGUGUCAUUUGUUCUCUUGCUUACUAUCAACUAAAUGCCACCCGUCCAUUGUUUACUAUCGACUAGAUGCCACUCGUUCUUUGUUUAGCAUUAAACCAACCAUUGAGCCCAUCACUUUCUCGGCACUAUAGGAUUCACAAGUCUCGACCCAAUCCUUAUCAAUCCACUACGUCAAAUAUCCAAUACAUGCUACGAUAUCAUCAAGGAAGGCAUAAGGAAAGGCAAUGCAUAAUCAUCCUAUAAUGCAAUAAUGCAAGAUGCAAGAGUCGACAUGUACUAAGACAUAGAAGGGAGCCCGAUUGCUUCGGGAUGGACACCACCCACCUCUUGGCGAUGCCGCGAUGAUGGAAAACUCGACGUUGCGGUCUUUGCACGUCGCUUCAACUCCUCGGGGCGAAGCGAGCCCUCGAGUACCCGAUUCGGCGAUAACUCCGCACUCGUUCGUCGGAUCGGCAAACCGUCUUCGCCGACGCGUUCCGAGACCUAGCAAUUUGGUUAGCGACCCAACAAAUUAGAUCAAAACCCUAGAUUUCCCAAAAUCCCAAUCCGUGCCCUAGAAUGGCGACGAGAGGGAAAUCCACGGUACGAGCUUCGAUUUUUUGAGCUCGAACCUUCUCCCUAGUUCCAUUAGGUCCCAUUCAAACCAUAAAAACCCCAAAACCCUAGAAACACGAUUAAAGGGUUUAGAGCUUACCCCUACACAAGGUUCCUUCAAGCUUGAGGGAGAGGGAGAGAAGAAGAUAUCUUCUUCUUCUUCUUCUUCUUAGUCUUCUCUUUCUCUUUCUUCUUCUUUCUCUUCUUCUUCUCCUUCCUCUUCUUCUUCUCCUUCUUCUCUUUCUUUUCUUUUCUUUCUUAGAGAGAGAGAGAAAAGAGGGUAAGAGAGAGAGAGAAAGCAGCUGAGAGUGAGAGAGAGGGGUCCCCCACCUCUAAUAAAGGCCAUUUUGCAUAAAAGCCCCUCAACUUUCACCCUAGUGCACUACCCUCACUGGGCAGUUUUCGCGCAGAGGGACCGGUCUCCCCGACUUGGGACCGGUCCCCGAAGGCUGCCAUUUCGAGCAGAGGGAUUUUCGCGUUCGGGAACCGGUCCUUGCCUGAGAGACCGGUCCCCGGGAGACCGGUCCUUGUCCGAGAGACCGGUUCCCGAGAGCUGCAUUCUCGGGACUUAGCCAAAUUUGGCUAAGUCUCGCCAGGCCAACGUUCGGGAACCGGUCCCUGCCCGCCAGGGACCGGUCUCAUCAGAGACCUCCGCAACCCAGCCUGAUGGAACCGGUCCCUCCCUGCCAGGGACCGGUCCCCGAGAGCAUUUCUGCUCCAGUGCAGAUUUUGCACUCGUGCUCCCGCGGACCCUUCUUUAAUGCACUUUAUGCAUUAUAAUCGCCUUCGGACUUUCCGAAGCCUACACCCUCGACGAAUAGUCGAUUCUAAUCGAAGUCUAAUCCUCGAGUUUCGAGAAUUCACUUCCUUACANAUGAAGCGCUUGUUGAAUAUGAUUUUUGACAAAUUAGGAUGUUGUCGGGCAGAUUUACCUCCGGGAGAUGAUUCUGACUAGGAGUUACCGGGCUUCUCUUUUUGUCGUUUUGGCGCUUUCUGACAAAAAGGGGGAGAUUGAUGAUGAUGAUGAUGAUGCUUUAUUCUUGAUUUUGAUGAUGAUGUAUUUAGCUAAGAUGAACUUUGUUUAGUUAGUGCUUUAGGUGUUUGUGAUUAUGAACUAUGACUUGAUAGUUUGUUUGAUCUUGAUACUUGAUCUUGAUACUUGAAUCUUGAUUAUGCUUUGAGAAUGUUUUUGCAGGAAUAAUUCAAGACUUCAAGACUCCAUGUCUAAGUCAUAGAGUUUGUAUUAAGGGUGUACAAGCGUAAAUUUCGUUUUUUUUUGGAUUGAUCAUGCAAGAGAUUAUCGUUUGGUGAUUGCGAUGAUCUUCUUUUUAUGAUUUAUUAGUUGUAUACAAACUUUGUAGUAUAUUUUAUUACGAAAUCGCCAAAGGGGGAGAUUGUUAAGGAUUUUAUAGGUUGGCGAAUUUCGUAAAGUUGUUUGGAGUCUUGAAGAGUUGAUCGCAGAAGUUAUUCAAAUUGGAGAACGAAGACUCAUUCGGAAAGCUCGACACCUAAAGUAUGAAGAAAAGAUUAUUUGUGGUGAAGAUACCUGUAAUGCACUGGAUCUUAGCAAAUUGCAAGAUUCGAGUGUUUGAUCUGUAUGUGGAGCCUUUCCACAGUUUUUGGAGGGUCGUUGAUAGUGUCCCGACCCCUGGCACGCAUCCCGAGGAUGUUGGAGUAGGACUUGGCACCAAAAUUCCAAAAUCGGAAUUUUUGGACAGCUCUCGGGUAGCCUGCAGCAGGGCUUGUACCGGAACAAGACUGGCCUUGUACCGGUACAAGGGUUGAUGGUUGUACCGGUACAGCCAUCGGGCUUGUACCGGUACAGAGCCGCAGACCGAGCAACCCGAGCUUCGGGUUUGCAUUUUCGUCGGCCUUGUACCGGUACAAGAACCCGUGUACCGGUACAAGGAGGCAGAUUUCGUGCAGAAUGAAACUGCAGGGGGUUUUGUGCGUUUGUAGCCUUCUAUUAGUAACCCCACGCCCCUAGGGCAUCUCCUGAGCUUGGAACCUGCAGGGAGAAAGGUGAGGAAGCCCUCCACACCUUCCUUUGUGAUUUCUUUGAUUUUGGUUGGGGUUUUAAGAGAUUAAACCUUCUUUUUUGCUCCUUUUGCUUGUUGGAAGCUUUUCCACCAUUGGAGCUUGAUUUUGGAGCUUGGUAGAGGGAAGAUCUUGGGACUUGGAUAGUUUAGAGCUUGGAUUGAAGCUUCUAAGAGGUAAGCAACAUGUUCUCUCCCUCUAGAUUCAAGUUUUAUUGAAGAUUUUGAGAUGAAACCCUAGAAUGAGGUUUUAGGGUUAAUAUUGGGCAUUUUGAAUCUAGGACUUUUGAAGCUAGAUUGAGUGGAUUAGAGGCUUCCAUUAGGUUGGAUUGGAUGAGCCCUAGCUUCAUUUUGGAGCUUUAGAGGAGAUUUUGCACUAGAGGUGAGUUUUCUACACCUAUGCUUGAAUAGCUUAAUGAUUGAGCUAUUGGUUAUUCGUAUGGUUCGUGUGACGCUUGUUCUUGUACCUCUAGGAUACUAGGAGACUAGAGGACACCCUCGUGGGAGCGCACGAGGAGUUUCGUUGUCAUCGGUGGGUUUGGCUUCCUUGAAAUCGGAGGAAAAUUCCUCCGAAGUGGUUAAAUGCUUUCAUGCUCCUUAAAUUCAUGCAUAUUCAUGUUUAGUAGCAUUUAUGAGAGUUUUUGAAUGCUUAGAACUCAUAUGUUGUGCAUCAAGAAAAUUUACUCUAUGUAGUAGAGAGAGAGAGACAAUGUGCUUUGUUAAUAUGCAUGCGACGAAUAUUCUAUGAGAUGAUAGGAAAUCAAGAUUCAUGCUUCGAUUUUGACUAGAACUAUAAGUUCUUGAACUUAGUAUCCAUGUUGGGACAAAAUGAGCCAUAGUGUCAUAAAGAGGCACUUGGACUAUUGUGUAUUUUUGAUGUUGAAUAUGUUGGGGAUAUUAUAUAAAAUUUUUGAAAAUUUUGGACGAAAAUUAGUUUUUUAGGUUUUGGCUCUGGGACCGGU
rnacentral:lncRNA from 1 species